rnacentral:lncRNA from 1 species
AAAAAAAAAAACUGUGUUGCACUUGUAUGUAGCCCAACCACCAUGUUGAUAUGUUAGUGUUUCACACAGAGCUUGCUUCUAUUCGAACAUAGAGCAUGCAUGAUCCCCUAUCAGGUUUAUCUUGCUAGUAGGAAAAGGAGGCAUCUGGAGCUCAUUUCCAAGUUCCAACUGGUGACAUAGCGUUCAAUGUUUUGGUUGAGCAGAAUCUACCUUGAUCUUUGCAGUGCCGGCGCCGGUGGCGGCUGAUCCUGCGAGAUUGAGCGGCGCUUAGCCGCUACUGCGAGGCAGCUAUGAACCACCAAUUCACCAUGCUCUGACGUGGUCCGCCUCUAGAGCUACUGUCGAAGGGUUUUGUUCCUUACACUGGAGUCUGGACAGUGGAGCUCCUUGUCUGGACACAUAUGCAGAGACUAGAGAGCAGGGGAUAUAGCGAGCACAAGACGCUAGCUAGCUUACUAUGAUGUCUCGUGGAUUCCACAUUGUUUCUCUGGUAUGCGGUAUUUUACAGUUUCAGAAGGCAAAUAGACGUGCUUGCACAGGUGCCAUGAUACAUCUGUUUCCGUUCAACUAUUGUCCACAUUUCACAGAUGUAUUCUUCAUUUCCAUCUUCAGCCACAUAAGACAUAAAUACAACUAUUGCUUUCAUCUUUUCUGAACAAAAAAACAUUGAGGGUCGUUGGUCAGUGUAGUAAUUUCCAGAUGAAUAAAAGCAAAGAAAAAACGUGGUAGGCGAGUAACAUGUCCUAUGGUAUAUCCAUAAAGAUAUACUAACCCGUGGCAAACAACAAGAAGGGUCCAUGUUUAUUGGAGUGGAUUUUCCAUAUAUUUUUGGUAGCACGUUUUUCCAAUUAUUGAACUUUGAGUGUAUGAACAAAAUAAAAACAACUAAUGGCGCCAUUGUAGCAAUGGAAACAUUGAAUCGCUUUCCUUUUUGCACGUGUUACCAGUUAGAUAUGAGUUAACAUGACUACUGCAAAGCAGUGACCUUGCAAGAAUACAUCAUGCUUCUACCAUUUAUAUAGACAUUAGACAGGGUCAAGUCCCAGGCCGUGGUUUUUCUGUUGCAUCCUGCUCUCAACCACGAAUGGACUUGUUUGCCAGAGUGAUAGCGCCACAAAAAUAGAGGAGAAUAUGAGCAAGAAAUGCUACAGUCUAUUUGGGUUGUAGAAUCACAUAGGAAAAGGAGGCAUCGGAAACUUAUGUCCAAGUUCCAAAGGUAUUAGUUGAGCUUAAAAGAUGCAUGCUGCACAAAAAGAACAACAAGGACGGGUAGCAGAGUUCAAGUGAUCCUCCGUUGACCACGGUUUUAGAGGUAGGGAUAAAUCUGUUGGCAGGCAGCCUCCUCCAGCUUCCUCCUCUAACUCACCAUUGCUGGAGCAGGUGGCCAGAAGCCUGGCUACUCCAAGGUCAGCAGAGCUGGGGUGAGGACAGGCAUAGCUGGAUUGUAGAAUCAUAUUUUUUUAGAUAAUGGAAAAAAUUCCAGCUUCAAACCUCUCAAAAGAGAGGCAUCAGACCGCUAAAAUUACAAGCACACUGUGUUUAACAUUAUUGACCAAUUCGCAAAAAGAAAGACCAUCCAUAGGACGCGAAGAAAUGCAUAGCUCUAGACUCCAGAAGUUGGCAUGUCUUGACAAAAUGUACCCUCCGGUCACCAAUGUGCUGAAACAGAGCCCGAAACCAUAGUAGUGUGUCCCCCCUGAAUAGAACCUGCAAAAAAGUUUUUAGUCUGCAAGGAUUAAACACAGUAUAAUUUCUUGUGAGCCAAAUUGCCCAACAAAUAGCGGCAGCUCCUGUAAAUAACAUUAAAUUGUGCUUGCCCCCCCCCCCUCUGCUUAGACCAGCUAUUAAAAAGAUGUUCUAUGCUUUUAGAUGGAGGUAUACCUAACACAAUGUGAAUUGCACGCUAUAAAAUUUUUGCAUAAUGAUACUCAAAAAAUAAGUGAUGGAUAGUUUCUAGCAUGCUAUAGAAGCAACAAGUUUUAUUACCAUUCCAAUUCCUCCUAGCUUGUUAGGAUCACUCCUCUUUUAAGAUACCACAAAAAUAUUUUUAUUUUGAGAGGAAUCUUCAUAUGCCAAAUUUCUUGCCGCGUAGCUUUAAUACCGUUGUAGACUGGGUGCCUAUACAUUGAAUUAACUAUGAAAGCUCCGUUCUUCUGUAAGCUCCACACAAAAGAAUUCAAUCCCUCAUUUAGAUUAAUAUGUGCAAGUCGUGCAACAAGGCUAUACCACUCAAAUAACUUGUACCCAACUAUAGCUCUCCGAAAGGAGACAUUGAGUGGGCUCGAACUAAGUACCUCUGCCACGGUUGCAUUUUUUUCGUACUAUAUUAAACAAAUUGGGGUACUGUACUUUCAACUUUUGGGUACCUAACCAUUUAUCUUCCAAAAAUCUAAUUUGGUUGCCGCUAACUAGCUUGAUUGAGGAAUUCAUCUUUUACCCCUAUUUAGCUUGACCAAAAAUGUGAAUCCCCUGCUCUUUUUACUUGUCUGGGAUAAGGUUUUAUUCCUCAUAUACUUGUUUCGAGGCAAAUCUUGCCACAAACCUUCUUCAUUACAUAACUUAAACAGUCACUUGCUUAGCAGGCAUUUGUUUUGUACAUCUAGAUCUUGAACCCCUAUCCCCCCUGUUCUUUUUGUUGACAUAGUACGUUCCAUCUGACCAAUCUAUAUUUCUUUUUGUGUUGGUCAUUCUGCCAAAAUAAUCUCGACAUAUAAUAUUCAAUUUUUCUAAGGACUCCCCUAGGGACCUCAAAAAAAGAGAGCAUAAACAUAGGCAAACUAGAGAGAACUAAGUUUAUCAAGACUAAACGUCCUCCCACUGAUAGGAGUUUUCCUUUCCACCCACUUAGUUUUUUUUCUAUUCUAUCCUCUAUUGCCUUCCAAUCUUUGUUUGACAACUUUCUAUAAUGCAUUGGUAUCCCCAAAUAGUGAAACGGGUAAGAACCUAUUUUUUAACCGAAAAGUUGUGAAUAUUGAGUUUCAUAGUUUCUUGCAUCCCCAAAGCCAAAAAAUUCACUUUUGUGCUGAUAGUUGUUCAAAGGCACAAAGGAGAAGCUUAAUGUUCUUUGCUUGUUUAAUAUCAUGGUCCAUAAAAAUAACUGUAUCAUUUGCAUAUUGGAGAAUUGACAAACCACCAUUGAUUAAAUAUGGUACUACCCCUUUCAGCUGACCAUCCUCUUUGGCUCUAGCCACGAUGAUUGCCAAUAUAUCAACAAUGAUGUUGAAAAGUAUUGGAGAUAAAGGAUCACCUUGCCUAAGUCCCUUCUUUGUUUGGAAGUAUCAUCCCAGUCGUCACCUUUAUCCCCACAUUGCCCCCUUGUACAAAUGAUUUAACCCAUUCGCUCCACUUUAGGUCAAAACCCUUCAUUCUAAGUGACUGCUGCAAAAAUUACAAUUUCACUUUGUCAUAAGCUUUUCCAAAGUCUAUUUUAAAAAAUCACACCAUUUUGUAUUUUGUGUGAAGCUCAUGUAUUAUUUCAUGGAGGAUCACUGUCCCUUCCAUAAUGUUCCUUCCAAGCAAAAAUGUUGUUUGAGUGGGUUUAAUGAUUCUUUGGGCGACUUUCACAACUCUAUUAGUGGCUACUUUGGUAAAAAAUUUGAAGCUAACAUUAAAAAAAAACAGAUGGAUCUAUAUUGUUCAAUUUGCUUUGCAUCGCUACUUUUAGGUAGUAGAAUAAUGUUCCAAAGUUGAAAAAUAGACUCUUUUAUCUCAUUUUUAGAAAAGGAUGCUACUAAAAGCUCAUUUACCUGUGGUGAAACAUGAGGAAUAUCGUCAUGGAGCGCCUCGUUGAUAGACACAAAGUUGUUGUCUGGUGGCCUGAACAACUUCUUAUAAUACUUGGUGAUAUACUUUUUAAGGUCAAUAUCACUGCAUAUUAGACCUUCCUCCUGUUCCAACUUGAAAAUACGACUUUUUCUAUGCUUUCCAUUUGCCACUAACUGGAAAUAUUUUGUAUUCGCGUCACCUUCCAAUAAAUUUUUAACUUUAGCUCUUUGAUACCAUUUUAAUUCCUCUUCCCUCAAAAGCUCUGCUAAUCUAUUACUUAGUGUAUGCUUAAGAUUGAUUUCGUUGGCAUCUAAAGGCGCCACUUCCACCUUUAUGUUUAACUCAUUCAGUUUGUUCAAGAGAAUCUUUUUUUUAUUUUUUUACGUACCACUAAUAUUUUUAGCCCAACCCCUCAAAUAUUGUCGCAGACGUCUAAUUUUUUCCUGCCACUAGGGUGUGUUUUCUUGUUGCACGCUAUUCCAAACAUCACUCACCAUGUCAAAAAAGCCAUCACGUAGCAACCAGCCCAGCUGUGGGUUGUUUGGUGACUCAGCUUCACUCGUGUUCAUAAACAAUGAAGUGUGGUCGGAUAUCUCUCUAGUUAGUGCUUGAACUGUAGUACGUGGAAAUUUUAGUUCCCCUUCUGUGUAGGUCAAUGAUCUAUCUAGCUUUUCAAAAGUUUGUUCAUGAAGGUUAUUUGCCCACAUGAAUUGUCGCCCUGAAAUUUCCAAUUCUCGUAAAUUAAAAAGCAUUUGCUAUUGCAUUAAACAGAAAUGGCCACCUGUCAUUAUAAUUGGCAUUAUUCGUUUCAUGUGGUCCGCAAAAAAUAUUAAAGUCACCACCUAUUAGAAUAGGUAAGGUUUCUUUAGUACAUAGUUGGACUAGCUCGGUUAGAAAUGCCUCUUUGUACUGUUGUUGUGCCGCACCAUACGCAGACACCAGCACCCAUUGGAAGCCAUCUUGUUUGUUUCUUACAUUAAAUUUUACAAAGUAGUCACCCUCAAUUUCUCCGAUAUCAAAUGUUAGAAGGUUAACCCCAACUAGCAUGCCACCGGAUCUACCGUGAGGAGCUCUAUAGUGCUAUAAAAAGUCCUUCCCACCACAUAGGUUUUUGAGGAACUUUUCUGAGCAAUCCUUCCUCCCAGUUUCCGAUAGAGGAACAAAAUCUAAACUUUUCUCCUUAACUACAUCAGAAAUAAACUUAAAUUUUUUUGGGUCCACUAAGCCAUUACAAUUCCAAAAGAUUCCUUUCAUUAGGUACUCUUGCUGUGUUGUGAACUGCUGCUACUUUUCUUGUUCUUUUUAGCACUUGAUUUUUUCUUCCUAGGAACAGCCUGUAGAUCACAUAGAUCACUGCCAGUUCCCUCGCUUAAACCCUCGACCACAUUACCACAAAAUUGGUUCAGUGCAAGGAUAUUAAUUUCAUCAUCAGUGUCCCCCUCAUACUCUACGGAAGAAGCUAUCUUGUUUUCAAUAGAACUAUUCAACAUAGGUGCAACCUGUACCUAUUGCGCUCAAUGUUCUUUAGAUUCCUAAUUGACUUACAAGUUCUAGAAGCUGAAGAGCCUAAACAAAUCCCCACAUGACUAAUAUUAUUAACCACUACCUCAUCAGAAAAAGAGAUGAAGGAAUCGAUCUGAGCAUUACCUUGUUUGUCGGUUUCCUCCAGAUUCUUGCGCGCUUGAAGUCUGGCAGCUUUCUCAAUUGAGUCUUUUUUUUUGAACGAACGGGCACGAGAGUGUGCCUAUUUCAUUGAUAAAGAAGGGUUACAGCCGGCUAACCGGACAGAAAGAAAAAAUGAAGGGAGACAGAAAGGAAAAAAGCACCCAUAGUGUCAUGUUUACAAUAGAAGGCCCGCUAGAUCUCUCGCUCCCGCUGCUAUCCGCAUGUUGGUUGAGGAUUUGAUUUUCGCCAUUAGCGAUGCCGUUGGAGAACCCUGGUGGCAGAAGAUUCGAGAAUUUCGCUCGUUCCAUAUUUCCCACAUAAUGAGUAGGACGAGGCUUAUGGUCGCUUUACGCGGGAUCCCUAUUGUUGAUGUGAUAUUGGUCCACUAUUCUAUGGCCGUUAUGCUGUGCUUCCAUUGACCAGGUUGCAGGCUUUCUUGUGACAGCCAUUGGGCCACGAGCUUCCAAAUUUGUUUUGUGUAUCUGCAUUCGGCUAGGAGGUGAUGUGCAGUCUCCAUCGUGCAUCGGCAUAGGGUGCACGUUGGAGUGUGGUCCCAUCCACGUUUUGCUAAUCUGUCUGAAGUCCAGACCUUGUUUUGGAGAAUUAGCUUGGCAAAAACUUUGCAUUUUGAUGGUGCCCAGGCUUGCCACACUGUUGCAAGGUUAGUCAUCUUCACACCACCUAGGAGUUGAGCCUUAUAUGCUGAAGCGGUGGUGUACUAACCGCUCUGGGUGAAUUUCCAAGUAAUUCCGUCUUCGUGGCUCGGAUUUAAUUGGUACUGUUGGAUCAGGGGCCAUAGUGCUAUGAAUUCGUUCAAAAGGGUGUUUGUGAGGCCUGUUGUGUGCUGAAGAUCUCUGAUCCAGUCGUUGUUGUGGAGCGCUUCUCGCACUGUCUUCUUUUUCCUUUUUGUUUUUGCGUAGAGGUGUGGGGCGAUGUCCUUUGGUCGACGGCCUGCUACCCACGCAUCCUGCUAGAAACGUGUCUUGUCCCCAUUGCCGAUUUGGAUCGUUGUACAUGCAGCGAAGAGCAGUCUAUCCCGGUCGUCACACGGUGUUUCAAUUCCGACCCACGUCUUGUCCGGAGAAGCCCAUUCAUGCCAUAGCCAUCUAAUACGGAGCGUCCUUGCGAAUUUAUCAAGGUCUAGGAUUCCAACGCCACCUUGCUCUUUUGGUAAGGUUGUCCUUGUCUAGUUGAUCUUGCAUUUUCCCCCCGUGAGCUCCUUGUCUCCCACCCAUAGAAAACGUUUUCUUAUUUUGUGGAUGUCCUCUGGUACUUCUUUGGUCGUUUUGAGGGCCGUUAAGGUGUAGACGGGUUGUGAGGAUAGGACGGAUUUGGUGAGGCAUAGCCGGCCGGCCUGUGUGAGGUUCCUUCCCUUCUACUUUGACAGUUUGCUCGCCACUUUGUCGAUCAUUGGUUGGAAAUCUAUACGUCAUAGUCGUGCGACCGUUAGAGGGAGGCCCAGGUAUUUUAUCGGAAAAUUCCUCUGCGCUACUGGGAGGUUGCGGAGCACUUCCUGAAUGUUAGUGUUAGAGCAGCUUAUCGGUGUGACGCUAGUUUUGUGGAUGUUCAUCUUGAGGCCUGUCGCUUCCCUAAAAUUUUGCAACAGGUUCUUCAAAUUUGUGACGUCUCGUGUAGUAGGCUUAAUGAAAAUCACCGCGUCGUCGGCGUACAUGGAUGUUCUCAUUCUUGACGCUCGGUUAUUCAGUUUGUAAAGUAGGCCCUUUUCCGUCGCGGCUGCUAGUAGGUAUUGUAGUGGGUCUAUUGCUAGGAUGAAAAGUAGUGGUGAGAGCGGGUCGCCUUGUCGGAGUCCUCUUCCAUGUUGUAUGUGUUCCAGGGGAAUUCCAUUCAGUAAAAUUCGUGAUGUUGAUGUGGUCAGGAUAGCCGCGAUCCAGUCUCUCCAUUUUUGUGGGAAUCCUCUGUGUUGCAUCAUCAUGAGGAGGUAGUCCCAUCGUACUGAGUCGAAAGCCUUGGAUAUGUCGAGUUUCAUAAGCAGGGUCGGUUGUCUGCGUCUGUGGAAUCAGCGUGCCAGGUUUUGUACGUAGAGGAAGUUAUCAUGAAUGCUUCGUCCUUUGAUGAAAGCGCUUUGGCAAGGUGAGACUAGUUGGUUCACGAAUGGAGCUAGGCGCAGGGCUAAGGUCUUUGUUAUGAUCUUCGCUAUGGCAUGGAUCAGGCUGAUGGGUCUGUAAUCCGCUAUGUCCUCUGCCCCUUCUUUUUUGGGUAUUAGGAUGAUUGUGGCUUUGUUUAGUAGGUUUAAGUCUGCGCAGCGAGAGUUGAAUAGGGAAGAGAUUGCCGCCAUGAGGUCGCAUUUGAUCAUCUCCCAGCAGGUGGUGAAGAAAAGGCCUGUGUAGCCGUCUGGUCCGGGCGCUUUGUUUUUUGGCAUCUGUGAGAUGGCCCGCCGGACUUCGUCUUCCGUGAACAGGUUAUCAAGCAAAGAUAGAUCGACGGUCGGGAAGCUUAAAGCUGACCAGUUUAAGUCGAGCAUUCUGUGCGGUGGUUCCCGCAUAACAUUUUGAAAAUGGUCUUGCACAACUUGUUGUUUGUCGUUAUGGGUAAAGACCCAGCCAUUAUCCUGACGUAGUCUUUGAAUGAAGUUUUUCCUCCUUCUACCUUUUGCCUUUAAAUGGAAGAACCUUGUGUUGGCAUCUCCUUCUUUUAGGUAUGUGACUCUGGAGCAUUGCUUUUUCCUAGCCCUCUCAAUGACAGCCCAUCCCCUGAGUCUCUGUUUUAGUUUUCCCCUUAGUCGCGUUUCUGCCACGGACAGUGCUCUAGUAUCCUGUGCCUCAUCUAGUCGUAGUAUUACCUCCUGAGCCAUAUGCAUCUUCAUUCUUGCGUCAGAUAGCAUUGACCUGCUCCAGCGUUUAAUGCCUGCGAUGUCUCAUAAAGUUUAUGGCCCAACCUGUGGAAAGGCUCUGUAUGAUGUGUCAAGGUAUUCCAAGCCGUGGAGACUACCUGCUGGAAAUUUGGCAAUCGUACCCAGAAGUUUUCGAAUUUGAAAGUUGUAGGGGUCGGAGGGUGGCAUGGUUGGUUAGUAGCAGGGGACAGUGGUCGGAGUGGGAUGAUGAUAGCGUGUGUAAUAGGCAAUUAUCAAAUUGGAGGUCCCAGCUUUGGUUGCAAAACACUCUGUCGAGACGAACAAGCGUUGGUGUCCUACGUUCAUUGCUCCAUGUGAAUCUUCUAUUUUGCAGGCUUAUUUCCUUUAAGCCGCAGUAGUUGAUGGCGUUUCUGAACCUGUUCAUAAGCCUCCGGUUGAGGUUCAUAUUGUUUUUAUCUCUUGCGCGGUACAUUAAAUUGAAGUCCCCUAGAAUUAUCCAUUUUGUGUCAUCAGAUGGUUUUAGUGUCCGCAUAUGUCUUAGGAAGGCUUCUUUUUCGGGUCGUCGCACUGGGCCGUAUACCGUGGUUAGCGUGAAGGUUGUCAUGCAAUGCCGAAUUGUUACCUCCGCUGAGAUGGAGUAUCUACCAAUUGUUAUGUUUUGAAUUUGUACCGCUGUGUCAUUCCAUAGUAGGAGGAUCCCUCCUUUUGUGCCUAUCGCCGGUUUAUACGCAAAGCAGUUUAAUUUGUAGGCUACCAGAAAGGUGGCCAGACUGGAGUCGAUGGAUUGUAAUUUUGUUUCUUGUAGGAACGUGAUUUGGCACGGCAUCGAUCUCAUCAUAUCGUGUACGGUUAGACAGCGUGCUGCCGCGUUUAGCCCUCGAACAUUCCACGAUAAAAUAUCCAGGUUGCCAUAUGUCAUAAUGCAGUGUUUUGCCUCGUGUGGUGCACGUCGUUGCGGUAAUCUGAGCGAUUAAAUUCGUUGGCAGUUAUGCAUAUGGUGUUGUUGGUGGUUGUUAGACGUGGCCUUAGAUCGACGUGGGCAGCAGGCCCUCCUAAUUGCAUAGCGGUUCGUAGGUUCUUGGUACACACAAUUGCCCGAAGGUCGAAGCCAGCAGGGCGUGCAUGGUUAAAAGCCCGAAGGUCACAGCCAGCAGGGCUUUGUAGUACAGGUGAUGAUACAAACAAAAUGACGAAAAACAUGUAGUGCCGGUGGAUGCUCGAAGUUGUUGUCGCAGCUCUAAGCUGUGGGGUCCCCAUUAAUCUGCUGUAGCUCCGUCGCGGCCGUGUCUGCGUGAUUCAUCAGUGCUUCUCCUAGCAAGUCCGCACCUUCGUCAUCAAGGCCGAAGAUGGUCAUCAGGGCUGCCACUAUGUUCUCCGGGAGGGGUCCCUGGAACAUUGACAGGAAGUCGCGAAGGAUCUCAUCAAUGGGUGCCAUCUCUUCAGUGGUUAGUCCCAGCUUGCGGCAUAAGUUUCUUUGCGCCUUCUCGGCCACCGGGAUGGAUGGCUUCCUUGCAAGCCACGCACUUCUUCGAACCGCCAUCAUGUCGAAGGUGCGGCGUUGACGUUGGCGAUGCAGCCCAGGCUCCUGGAGCAAUGGUGGAGGAGGAUUGCAGAAAAGAGAUAUAAUCUCUCUCAGGUCCUGCUCUCCAUCCCCCUGCCCGUCCUAUGGGAUCUCUUGAUCUAUAUGCGCGGUGAAGCCCACGCCGGAAGUGGGUCUGCCUUGUCGAGCGGCGCCUGGUAGCAGGCCAACGCCAACCAGCGCCCCCCCUGUUGUUUUGGCCGCAUGGGCCGGAGACACGGCAGCGAGCGGGGAAAGUGCCCCCUGCACCGUCGGGCCGUCGUGGGUCGCCACCUGGACAGGCGUAAGCGUUGGCAUGCGGCCCAGUGGGGGAGAGAGGCCCAUUGAGGCUCCAUUCACAGUCGGGCUGCCAGCGUAGGCCGCAGCCUGGCCAGGCGAUUGGGCCUAACAGCGGCCCAGCUGGGUUGUGGCCACCUCUUGGGUUGACGUCACUUGGGCCGCUAGCCCGAUAGCAAGUGGCCUAGGCUCCAGGCCAUCAUCACUGCCCACUGCAACCAGAGCCUGCUUGAUGCCGAAGGACAUUUCGUCGAGCGCCCGUUCGACGUCCGCCUGUUGGAGGUAUGCCCUAGAGGCAAUCAUAGAGAUGAUGAUAUUCCAUUUGUAUCCAUGAUUUGUAUAUUGUGUUCAUUGAAUAUCCAUUGAAGGCUACUUGAAUUGAAUUGCAAUUAUGUGAAUUGUAUGUGAAACUCUUUACUUGUAUGGUUAUUCUAAAGUUGUCCCUAGUCGGAGUUCAUGUGAGGACACACAUGAAUAUUAGACUAGCACAUGUAUUAGUUGAUGACUAUGUUUCACAAGUCAUGGACAUGGAGAUGUUGAACUAAUAAUGUGGACACAUGUGGAGACAUGUGCUAGGACUGACUCAACACGAGAAGUAGUUCUCUCUUUAAACAACAUAUACGCUUUGUCCUUAGACCUGAGAUUGUCGCAUGUAUUCUAGAUGUGGAUCGACCUACUUAGGGGCUAUCAAACGCUACGCCGUAACAGGGUAGUUAUAAAGGUAGCUUUCGGGUUUGUCAAGAAGCAUGCUAUGAGACAUGGUCAAUCAAGAUGGGAUUUGCCCCUCUCUGAUUGAGAGUGAUAUCUCUGGGCCCCUCGAGUGAUCGGAUCCGAAAAUGCAUGGCCAUGCUACGUACGGUUAAGAGUUGACCUACAAAGGGAUUCCGAAUCACAGGAUCGAGAAAGAGCGGUCGGCUUGAAGCUAGACCAAAUAUCGUGAGGCAAAGGGAAUAGCAUGUAUAUUAUGUUGUGAUGGUUCGUCUGAUAUGAUCUUCGUGUGCGUAUAGGAGUUGGCACGUCUUGCUAGAGGCCGCUACCGACUAUUGGGCCGAGUAGGAGUACUCGGGCCAUGUCUAUACGUAUCCGAACCCAUAGGGUCACACACUUAAGGGGCUGGAAGCCCAAUUCGGAUCUGAUCCGAGUUGGAUUAGGUUUAGAAGUACAAAUGGGCCUCGGACCCAGAGGCCCGUCAGGAACCUCUAUAAAUAGAGGGAUGGGGGCGCCCUAGGGUUUACACCUUUUUGGCAAAACACAUCUGCCGCGCCUCCACGCUCUCGCCUGUUGCAACUCGCGGAUCUAGCAAUCCGGCUUGUGAUGCUUCCUCCCUGCACGUGUGGAUACCUUGGAGGUGUUGCGCUUGCAGCACUCGGACGAGCCACGACGAGCCGACGACGAGCCGCAGCACGGGAGGUGAUCUUGCUGCACGUGGACGAGCUGCUGAGGAGCUGCUGGACGUUGACGUGAUCGACUAUGUACGACUACGUUGAUCGACUACGUACGACUACGUGAUCGUCUUCACUGCAUCGACGCAUAUCUACAUCUUCCGCACCAGUAGUGCGUCGAGUGGUAAUCCCGUGAUCCUUAUACGACAGUUCUUCCUAGUUUUACGCGGUAGAAAUUUUGAUUUGCGCUAGUGUAGCCUACCUCGUAUCCCAACACCGCCACCAUCGGCGAUGGCGGUGCCGGGAAGAGUGCCGCCCGCAGGGUGCCGAAGACUUGAGGCAGCGGGAUAGGUGCGGACCAGGCUUUUUGCCCCCGAGCAGGUGUCGUCAAAGCCUAGGCAGUCGGCGAGCCAGGAGAUCUUGCGUGUGUAGUCGUCGGCGUGAAGUCCCCUGUUCCUGGCAUCCAGAACAAGACAGUUAGUUGGUGUUGUUACCUGGUUGUGCUUCAUCAUCGCGGUCGCCUGGGCCUGGAACAGAGCUCGGAGUUGAGACGGAUCGUGGAUGCUCAGCUCCUGUGCGCCCAGAGCAUGGUGUCAUCCCUGUGGUGGCGCAUAGCUGCGGCAGGACGGGGACCUGGUGCGGUCACGGUGCCCAGCAUCCGUGCAGCCCCAGUAGGCGUCGCCGUAUUUGCGCCCGUGGCCUGGGUGGUCGUAGUCGCGGUUCUCGUCGCCGUCGUCGUCGUCGUCCCCACGCCGGGGCGGCCAGACAAAAUCCCGCUUGCAAGUUUGUCGAGCCGCCCGGUGCUUGGCUCGGUUCCUGUCCUCCUGGCGAGCGUGUCGUCCCCGCUCACGUCCGCCAUCAGCCGCGUCACCUUCGCCGGAUGCUCCACGCCCAGCGCCGGUGGCACCAUAGGCGCCGUUCCUUCCUCGUCCCUGGUCUUCAGGCCUUCUGUUGUCGGGGUCGUCAUGGGACCGGGGUUCAGGUUCUCGCGGCGGUCGAGGCAGCCUAGCCGGGAAACGCGACCUCGCGUCCGAUGGAGCACCAUCGACGAGGCCAUACUGCCACUCGUACCGGCAACGGAUCGGAGUAAUGUUCUUUGGGUUGUUGACCGCCUGCUGUAGGUUGUGCGCCGCCGCCAUGUAGUCCUCCAGGAUGGGCAUAUGGAUGAAGACCUCAUAGCGGGCUCCUUGCUGCCAGAAUGUUAGGGGAGGUUCGGCCGACACAGAGAAGGUGGAGGAUUUGGUCGCCGGGCUGUGGACGAAGGCGAGCCAUACCUUCUUCGGGAUCUCGCUCGGGUCCGCCGUCCAUGCCCAGAGCUCGAUGUGCCUGGAGUCCGCCGGCUGGAUGAGGUCGGUGAUGAUGUGCUGCAUCGCGCACUUGUGGCCGAUGACGCGCUCGACGAUUUUCGCCGUCCGUGCGUGGCUCGGGACCGUCGAGGCAGAGCCGCACCCUAUAGAAGAUGCGGAAGCUGAGGGCGUGGGUGAGGCUACGCCACGGCCGGAGGCAGAUGUCGAUGCCCCCGCCGGUGAAACGUCCAUGGCGGCACGCCUCCGCCGCCUGUGUCGCACUGUCGAAGCGGAUGAGGUAAGGUUUAGGUUGAUGAAGCGUGACGUUGAUGGCGUCGGGGCGCAGAUGAAGCUCCCUACAGAUGAGCCCCGCAAUGUCCCGGGCUCCAGCACCCGGCGGCAAGUGUAGCACCCAUGGGACGAGGGCGCAGGCCUCCCAUUCCCUCGCGUCGUGCUCGAGGUGGAAGGAGUCGGAGACGAAGAUCGUUUCGACCUCUGGCUGCGUGUGGGGGUCGCCAAUGGCCAUGCUGCUGGCGUUCUUGUGGCUUGACGGCGGCAGAGGGGAAGCUAAGGUGGCCGAGGUGCGUGGCGGGGUGGCGAUGGGUGCGUGGUUGCGUGGGCGGGUCGCAGGUGUUGGGCGUGGCGCAGUGGAGACGGGGCGGUGGCCGGUGGGGGCUUUAGGGCGGGGUGCAGAGGAUGCGGCGGCAGUCCUCGCUUUGCAGUUGCGCUCCUUGUGACCGAAGCGGCGGCAGCGGAAGCAGCGCACCGGGUCUUGGCACGAAGCAGCACGGUGGUCAGACGCAUGGCAGAUGAAGCAGUGCCCCGCAGUCACACGGUUGAAGGCGAGCAGAGCUUUGGUGGGUGGCUUCCUUGAAGAGCUUCUGUAGUGGCGGUCAUCUCCGUCGUCGCGUCGCGGCUUCUCAAGCGGCGCACGCUGCCACACCCUACGGCGCAUCACAGGCUGCCACUCCUGCCGCAGAAUAGGGUCCUGAGCUGAUCCUGGUGUCGUGCCACGCUUGGCCCGGUAAGCCGCUGACGCCGUGGUGUGUUGAAUGCGCCGUGGAGCAGUCGCAUCGUCGGAGUUACUGCACCUUCCUCUGGUAGGGCCACGGUGGUCUUCCUUGAAAUGCCGGACGGGUGGAUUGGUGGAGGAAUUGAAGGCCCCCCUUUGACGGCCUCCGCGUAGGACAAUCUUUUGCCCGGGUGGCGCUCCACUUCCACCGGCACCAGAUCCGCCGCCGGAGGCCGUAGAUCGGGUGAUGGGACGCGCGGAUCUGGCAAAUCCGGCACCCAUUCGUCGUCGAGGGGCGCCGGCCGGCCAUCUCGGGGAGGUGGAGGCGGGGACGGGGAGAAGAACUUCUCCCAGGAGGAACGCGCGCGCGGGGAGGUUGGUGGUGGGGGGCACGGCUGCUGGGGUGUUUGGCGGGGUAGUGAUCUGCGGAGGAGGCGCAGGGGCGAGGGGGGUCCGGUCUCACCGGCGAGGGGCGGGGCGGCUGGGGGGCGAGGGUGUGCGCCAUCGUAAUUCUCAAUUGAGUCUUGGUCAGCUGACACUGACAUCGCGCUUCUUUUACUGUUGCGAGUUGGAGUUGCUGCAGCAUUUGGUAUAGGUGUGGGAGAGGGAGAAUGCAAAGAGGUACGCAACGAAGAAUUUUUAUUAACUUGCUUACUUGCUGAAUUUCUGUUUGGAGUAGCAUCAUGUGGGCUGGCUGCCGAUAAAAUGCCUCGGCCACCCAAGCUUUAGUGCUGUCCGCAACUCCAGUAGGCUUUAGAACCCCUGUAUGCCGAACUUUGCUGGGAUCUGUACAACCAGAAAAGGCAGAAGCUGCAGCAGCCAUCUUGGUAGUUGUUGCACUCCCCUUACCAGUAGCACUUCCUUCUUCCCCCAACUCUUUUCCCCCUGGGUGAGCAUCUCCAUAUUCUUUGCACUAUUUUCUUUGUUUUCCUCUUCUAGCUGCUUCUGUUUGUCUUUGUCGCCAUCUUCUUUUGGCUGUUCAUCCAUAUUAAUCAGCAGGGGAUUAGUUUCAUCCCCGUCCUUCUCCACUCGGAAUUGUCAUCAUGUAAGCCGAAGCCCAGCCGACCAUGGCAUCAUGUUGUUUCGUUGUCGUGGUCAUCAACGAAUGCGAAUGUCAAUGAUAUCAGUCGCUGGGAAGGCCACCUGCAUUGGUACCGGCAUCGUGGUUGCAGCUAAUUAACCCAGGCCUGUCUGUCACGGCAUUUUGGGUGGUGGAGACCGUCUCCUAGCAUGACAUGUGUUGUUUAGAGAGGAUCCAGCUAAUGGCAACGUAGAAAAGGAACUCUGAAUAUUUGUCCUUUUUCAGAUAUCAACAUUUGGGAGUGAGUUAACGAUGACUUUACUACAGGGCAGUGAUGUCUACAUAUUCUUGUUGGUGGAGAAGCAAUUCCGUGAGUCGUCAAAGCAUACAUUUAUAUAAAUAGAUACAUAUGACGCGUCUCUAUUCGUUAUUCUGUACGUGUUGUAUUCGGUAUUCUGUAUGUGUUGUAGUCGGGUCUCAGAAACUAAGGGGGUGUUGGGAACACCCUAUUAAAGUUUAACACCUGUCACAUUGGAUGUUUGGAUACUAAUUAUGAGUACUAAACAUAAACUAAUUACAAAACUAAUUGCACAGAUGGAGUAUAAUUCGCGGACGAAUCUAUUAAGCCUAAUUAGUCUAUGAUUUAACAAUGUGGUGCUACAGUAGCCAUUUGCUAAUGAUGGAUUAAUUAGGCUUAAUAGAUUCGUCUCGCGAAUUAGCACAAGGUUCUGCAAUUAGUUUUAUAAUUAGCUCAUGUUUAGUCCUCCUAAUUAGCAUCCGAACAUCCGAUGUGACACUGUUAAAGUUUAGCACCUCGUAUCCAAACAGCCCCUAAGUCGAUUUGUUUCCCAGACUGCUACAAAGAGAAAACGAGAGGGAAUGUGAACAUCAAAUGUCACGAUCUAUUUUUGUUGUAGUAGAAUUAGGUUGGAAAAGGAGGCACCGGAAACUUAAGCCCAAACUGUGAGAGACGUACUCGAUCUUGAAUCGAUCAUCAGGCAUAAAAACUUGAAAACUAAAAUGUAGCACUGGAACCCCCAAGGCGUGAAUAGCAAAACAAGCCCGCGGAACUUCCAAUAUUUUUUAUUACUCAUCUUCUUUAUACUUUGACCCAGUAUAUAUAUAGUCAACAGCUCACUGGUAGAGAAUUGACCUUUAGUCCCGGUUGGUAGGGUGCAUAUCUCUCGGAUAUCCAUCCGGGAUAAACCAACCGGGACAAAAGGGGGGGUCUUUAGUCCCGGGUAUUUAAACCGGGAGUAAAGACCCCCCCUUUUGUCCCGGUUGGUUUAUCCCGGAUGGAUAUCCGAGAGAUAUGCACCCUACUCCCGGUUGGAUUUCCCAACCGGGACUAAAGGGGUCCCCUUUAGUCCCGGCUCAAUUCCAACCGGGAUUAAAUUGCGCUUGCAUGGCACUGGUGACGCCUGAAUUUUUCAUGCAUGCAUCACGUAUACGUAUAGUAGUACCGCGGCCCUUUUAAUUUGUUAACCUUGUAGUUGAGAUUUUUUUAGAAUGAAUUAAAUCAACUAGUAUUUAAACGAAUGGGAUUUGUAAUUAUACAACUACUAUAUAUAUACACAAUCCUUAUACACAAUUCAUAUUCACAAUUCAACUAGCUUAAUUAGUACAAAUCGAUCAUAUAUACAAAUAAAUCAAAGUAUCUUCCUACGAUCUUCCCGUCGUGGUGUUGCUGAGAGGAGUGUCUAAUUGUCGUCCAUCGUAAUAAAAUUCUCCUCUUGGAUUUACCACCUCGUCCAUUAUGAAUCCAAUGAGACCUUCACAUAUUGCCGCUACUCUUUCUUCCUUCAAGAGUUCUUGUUGAAUAUUUAACAUCUAUAAUUUGGAAAUUUGUGAAUGUUACAUGAACAAAUACAUAUAAGGAGCUAGAAAAUAAUUAACUAGUAAUAUAUUUAUUUUACGUACUUUAAAGUUGUGCGGCGUCAUCUUCGGUCCCUUGGGUCCCAAAAAACUGUGCAUGUGCUCACAGAUGUAGUAGCCACAUAGGUUAUUCCCGGGUUCCUGUCUUAAGCACUUCAGUGCGGAAAAAAAUAAGUUAUGAAAUAUUCGUGUUAUACAAUGUAAUAAAUUUGCAGACUUCAUACGUACCGGGAAGUCUGUGUUCCAUGUAAGAUUUUCUUUGAAUGGACCUUUGUGUGUCCUUAUGAAUUGUUUCCAUACGCUGCGGAUUAGAAUAAUGAAUGACAUAGUGUAACAGGGAUAAAAUUUAGGAAAUAAAUUUUUGCAUAGAGAUCAAGGUCCAGAAUUAUUACAAGCCUAGCAUGUCUUGCAAUUCUUGGUAGUCCACCGGAUCUUUCCGUAACGAAUCAAAGACAGUGACGUGGCUUCUUUCAGGCUCAAUUAUAAUAAGGAUCCAGUGGAAGCUGCGUGCGUAAAAUGUUCAUGCAUAUUAGAGCUAACUAACAUGUAGAGAUAAGGAAAAAGACAUCGAAAGUAGACGGUAUACACACACUUACUUGAAGUUGUAUGGAAGUAGUAUGAAAUCCUUGAAUGUUUGUUUGUGUAGGAAAUUGUAUAUUUCGGCAAAGGUUUUUUCCGGCGCUAAUUGUAUCUGUUGUUGGUUAACUACAGAUGGAUCCAUGAAGCCUACAUGUAGGUACGCCUCUCGGCGGCAUGUCUGAAUUAGCAUCCUACAUGAAAUGGAAGAUGAAGUUAGUACGGUGACGCACGCCAAAAUUUACAUGUAGAGAUAAUAAACGGACACUUACAGAAUCCAAGCGCUGAUCAGAGAGACGUCCAGGGCAUCAUGAUGGUACACUUCGUAUAUAUCCUUGAAGUCUAGCCACAGCACUUUCUCCCCUUCACCGUGAAAAUCUAUCGGUUUUACCUUCAUGCCGAUCAUCUCCCUCAAGUUGGCGGAUGCCGUCAUGUACCAUUGAUGGAAUUCGUACAUCUUUGUUGACAGCUUCCGUACCAUUGCCGGCUUCACUAGAGGCUUGCCUAGCUCAUAAGGCCAUCUCGGCUCAGGGGGCGGUGCAGUUGGCGUCUCGACUUGCCCUAUGCAUUCAUCAAGUCCCAGACCUGUUUCUUCCAUGAACUUCAAUAUAUUUUCUUGUUGAUCCAAGGGCAUUGCUUUUACCCGUUGAGCAUCUUUCUUUGAUAAAUGGCUGAGGUCGGGGACUGAACCUUUGGAGGAUGAUUUUCCUUUUCUUUUAUCCUUUUCAUCAGCCUUUACUAGAGCCCGUUCAUAGUUUGACAAGAGUGGUAUCCUUUUCUUGGCUCCUUCCUCCAUCCUGAUAAAAAAGUUUAAAUCCCGCCGACUUACUGGCGGUGGCUCCAUCUCCCUUGCCUUUUUUAAUUCGGCUUGUUUCUUGAACCACUCACUGGCCUCUUGUUGGAUUUCUGCCCACUGUUCCGCAUGAGACAUUGCCUCAAAGCGUUCCUUGCGAGCCACUUCAGGGUCGACCUUUGUUUUCUUCUUUCGAGGCUGUCUUUGCUUGGGAGGCGGUGCUCGUGACUUCUUGAGUGGUGCUGCAGGUUCCUUCGAGGGGGCCGCUCUUGGUGCCGGCGAUGGUGAUCGGGGAGGGGUGUUGUUAUUGUCGUCAUCGCUCCCAGCACCAGGAUGUGGUGGAGAUGGAGACCUUGAUAUAGAUGGAAGCGACGGUCCUGGAGCAGGAGAUGCCGGUCUCGUGGUAUGAGGAGAAGAUCGCUGCUCGGGAUCUACGGGGAGCGGUCUUGAGGUCUGAGGAGAUGGCUCCGUGCGGGAAAUAAUGAUGUAGCGUUUCUUCCAUAGAAUGAUCCCAUGAAGCACAUCUGCCAAUGCCUUUUCCCCGUCGCCUCCCGGGAAGUCGAGCUCUAGACCUUCAUACUGGGCAUCUACUAUUUGCUCGACGCAGACGCUGGCGUAGCCUGUUGGAAUGUCCAUGCCAUGACUGCUCUGCCCUGCCAGCGUUGGUAACGCACUCCCGUACGCUACCUGUACAUAUAGCAGAAGUAAACAAGUUGAACUCCGAUCUCGAGGCCUGGAUCAAUUGACAAGAUUGCAUAAAUAUUAUGUAUAAGUAUACCUUAAUAGUGAGGUUGCCGACCGGUGCAUGCAGCUCACAUGAGGUCCGUUGCGUGAUGGCAUCCACGGGGAACCGUUGCUCCUCCAUGGGUAACCUGGGCGUCUGCGCAUCGGGGACCCCUGUAGAAGCACAACUGCUCCCGAGGCGUUGAGAAGGGCUGGCGGUGUGAGGAUUCGGCAUUGCUCCAGAUUGCACCAACUCCGCAACUGCGUCGGCCACCCGCCGAUUGAUUUCAUCCAUCAUUCGUUGUUCUAGCAUCUGCCGCCAGCUCUCCUCCAUCUGUUCCUUUCUUCGCUUCCGGCUUCUGUAAGAGGCGCUGUCGCCUCGGAAAGCGAACUUCCACGGAACCACCCCGAACCCCCGGCAACGUCCUGGGUGCUCUGGAUUACCGAGGGCCAAUGUGAGCUCAUCAUUUUCUCGGUCCACCCUCAACCUCCCAGCCUUGGAAUCUUCAAUGUUCUUCAUGAGAUGUUCGGCCUUCUCACGUAUUCUGUCAUUGAAAAUCAGCGUCCCAUCCUCUUGGCUUAGGGAGCCUCCAUGAGCGUAGUACCAGUUCUUUGAUCGUUCGGGCCAUUCAAUAGUUGCAGGUAUGAUUCCCCGUUCGAUCAGAUCUUGUUCCAUCUUUCUCCACUUGGGAAUUGCUGAGCCAUACCCACCUCGCCCCAAAUGAUGGUGGUAGCCCUUCUGACUAGCAUUUGCAACGUUGGUCGUGAUCUUUUUCACACCUUCUUCACUCCUCUUGUAUUCAACAAAUGCAUCCCAGUGGUCCCUCAACUUGGGCCACGCGUUGAAGUCUGGAGUUUUGCCCUUCUUGAUGUAGUGGGUGUCCAUCAUCUUCUUGAAUGUCUGGAAUUGAGUAGCCAUCUUCUUAAGUGUCCACGCUUUGACAUCCUUCUCGCUAUAAUCUUCGGGGAAUGUGAAAUGCCUCUUCACGUCUUCCCACAGCAUAUUCUUUUCUGUCUCUGGAAGGGCGUACGGAUUAUCGCUUCUGCCCUUCCAUUCUCUGAUGCUGAUAGGCACGUUGUCCCGGACGAUUGCCCCGAUUUGACUAACGUACUUCUUUGCGACUUUCUCGGGAGCAACCGGCCUGCCCUCAUCUGUAACUUCGGUGAUGACAAGCCUCCCUUCCAUCACCUUUGUACGACCUCGGGUCUUCUGCCCUUGUGUCGAUCCGGAAGGCUAACAGUUUAAGAUUCGUUAAUUAGUACGUACUAGUAGCGGUGGCGUGAAACAAUACAAGAAUGGUUGUAUAUACCUCGCCGGAACCUUCCGCCACGGCAAGUUGUUGCUGCGGCUGUUGCUCUUCAUUCCCAUCGGCAGACAUGUUGAGGAACAUGUCCGCCUGGGUGCCCUCUUCAUCCGUGUAUGAUAGUGGAACGUUGUCGCCACUACCAUCACCAGCGAUUAUCUGCUCCAUGAUAUACCUUGCGGUCUCAUCGUCUGCCAUUUCAACUAUUGCUGGAAACAUACAUGGAAUCAUACAUGAUAGUCAUAGAAAUCAUCUUAAUACAAAUUUCUAUGAAUUUCUAUGAAUUUCUAUGAAUUUCUAUGAAUUUAUACAAAUUUCUAUGAAUUUCUAUGAAUUUCUAUGAAUUUCUACGAAUUUCUAUGAAUUUCUAUGAAUUUAUACGAAUUUCUACGAAUUUCUAUGAAUUUCUAUGAAUUUCUAUGAAUUUCUAUGAAUUUAUACAAAUUUCUACGAAUUUCUAUGAAUUUAUACAAAUUUCUAUGAAUUUCUAUGAAUUUCUACGAAUUUUGACGAAUUUCUAUGAAUUUCUAUGAAUUUCUAUGAAUUUAUACAAAUUUCUACGAAUUUCUAUGAAUUUCUACGAAUUUCUAUGAAUUUCUACGAAUUUCUAUGAAUUUCUAUGAAUUUAUACAAAUUUCUACGAAUUUCUAUGAAUUUCUACGAAUUUUGACGAAUUUCUAUGAAUUUCUAUGAAUUUAUACAAAUUUCUACGAAUUUCUAUGAAUUUCUACGAAUUUUGACGAAUUUCUACGGCGGCGAUAAGGGCGGCGGAGGCGGGACGGCGGCGGUCAGGGCAGCGGAGGCGGGACGGCGGCGGUCAGGGCGGCGGAGGCGGUUCACCGGAACCACGGGCGGUGCCUAAGCUACUACGUUGUGAUGGGCGGCAGGACGGCGGCGAUCACGGCGGCUACUCGGCGGCGAUCACGACGGCUACAAGGCGACUCUCACGGUAGCUACUCGGCGGGACGGCGGCGAUCACGACGGCGGGACGGUAGUUAACAAGCUAACUACAAAUCUAACUUAACAAACUAACUAGAAAUCUAAAAAUCUAACUUAACAAAAUUACAAUUCCAUCUAAAAAAAACAAAAUUAAACGGCCGGCGCGGCAGACCUCUCGCGCGCGGGGCGGCGGCCGGGGCGGCGGGACGGCGGCGGCCGGGGCGGCCUGACGGCGCGCGGGGCGGCGGCCGGGGCGGCGGGACGGCGGCGGCCGGGGCGGCGUGACGGCGGGACGGCGGCGGCCGGGCGGCGUGCGGGACAGCGGCGGCCGGGGCGGCGACGAGGACGAAGACGACGACGGCGGGACGACGGCGGCCGAGGCGAAGACGACGACGGCGGCCGGCGAGGGGCGACGAGGGGCGACGAGGGGCGACGAGGAUGGAGCCGGCGACGAGGGGCGAUGCAGCCGGCGAGGGAGGCGGACGGGCGGCGACGGGGCGGAGAGGGAGGCGGACGGGCGGCGACAGGCGAGGGAGGCGGACGGGCGACGACGACGGCGCAAUGCGGGACUUCGACGGCGCAAUGGGGGACGACGACGGCGGCGGCCGGCGAGGGAGGCGGACGGGCGGCGACGGCGGAGAGCGCGGGACUUGCGAAAAUUUCGCUAAGUGUGGAACUGGCGGGGGGUAGAAGGGAGUACAGUGCUUUUAACCCCCCCCCCUUUUAUCCCGGUUCGUAAUGGGACCCGGGACAAAAGGGUGCCCCCGCCAGGUGGGGCUGGGAGCAACCGGGAUAAAANNNNNNNNNNNNNNNNNNNNNNNNNNNNNNNNNNNNNNNNNNNNNNNNNNNNNNNNNNNNNNNNNNNNNNNNNNNNNNNNNNNNNNNNNNNNNNNNNNNNNNNNNNNNNNNNNNNNNNNNNNNNNNNNNCAGUCAUUCAAACUUUUGGAAAAGGAGUUUAUUUAACCUUUUCUCUGCAGUCCGCGAUGAAAAAACAAAACCUUCUCAGAUUUUGUACAUGCAAAAAUAUAUUUAAUUAACGAGUAAAUUGACAAUAAGUAUGAAGUAAUCAUUAUUUCUAUACCAACUCAUGUAGCCCGUAAAAUAUUUAUUUUACUGCAUUGCUGUGAUCAAUAAAUUAUUCACUUUAAUUAUUUGAAUGCGCAGAAAAAUCCAUGUUAGUAUGUGGUUAAUAAUGUUCAUGUAUAUCUAAAAAAUCUUCACCUAACAAAUUUAAUAACACAUGAAAUCAUACAUAGGGUAAAUUACAAAUUGUAUCAAUUAAUACACAAAGGUCAUGCACAUUUAACGCAUUACAAUACAACGUUGUAAAAUUUCUUCUUCACGAAAGUUCCUUGAUCAUGAUCGCGGCGUAAGUACGGAGCCUCUUCUUUGGAUAGCAGGAUGCUUGGAUCAACUUCAACGGCAAAUGGAGGCAUGCCAUCAAACUGAUCAUAAUCAUCUGAUUGGUCUGUUUUAUCCUCGACUCCCACGAUUUUUCUUUUACCUGGAAGAACUAUGUGGCACUUUGGCUCCCAUGUCUCUUCUGGAUUCCUCUUGGGUUUGCUGCACAUGUCCUUCACAUAGAACACCUGAUGCACAUCAUUGGCAAGUACGAAUGGGUCAUCACUGUAUCCAAUCUUGCUCAGAUCUACUAUUGUCAUUCCGUACUGAUCUUUGGUGAUGGCAGUUAGCUUCACCCAAUUGCAAAGAAAUAGAGGGAUGUACAGCGGUCCGUAUUCGAGUUCCCAUAUCUCCUGUAUGAAACCAUAAUACGACUCCUUGCUAUUAUUUCUGUCCAUGGCAUCUAUGCGGACACCACUAUUCUGGUUCGUGCUUUUUUGGUCCUGGGCUCUCGUGUAAAAUGUGUAACCAUUUAUCUCAUAGCCUUGGAAUUUGACGAUUGUGGUAGCAGGUCCCCUGGCUAACCAGGCAAGCUGUGGGUGAAUCUCAGAGUUACCCAUAAGUUGUUGGCGCAACCAGGAGGGAAAAGUUUCCAUGUGAUGACGGGUAAGCCAAGCAUCGGAUUUGGUCGGGUUUUUGGAAGCUACCAUCUGCCUGUGCUGCUCGAUAUACGGAGACACAAAGGAUGACUGUUGUAGAACAGUGUAGUGUGCCUUGUUGAACAAAUUAGUAUCAUUGCUCAAACUUGAUUUCCUUCCAAGGGUGCCCAUUCCUCGGAGCCUCCCCUCGUGGCGUGAAGUUGGAACCCCAAUCGAGUCAAUUGAAUCAAUAAAAUCAACACAAAACUCGAUCACCUCCUCUGUUCCAUAUCCCCUGGUGAUGCUUCCUUCUGGACGAGCACGAUUACGAACAUAGUUUUUUAGGACUGCCAUGAACCUCUCGAAAGGCCACAUAUUGUGCAGGUAUACAGGUCCGAGAAUACCAAUCUCUUUUACUAGGUGAACCAGUAAGUGCGUCAUAAUAUUGAAGAAGGAUGGUGGAAAUAACAACUCAAAACUGACAAGACAUUGCACCACAUCGUUCUGUAGCUUUGAUAGCUUGGAUGGAUCGAUUGCCUUCUGCGAAAUCGCAUUGAGAAACGCGCAUAGCUUUACGAGCGGCAACCGGACAUUUUCUGGUAGAACACCCCUCAGUGCAACCGGAAGCAACUGGGUCAUCAACAUGUGGCAGUCAUGAGCCUUGAGAUUUGUAAACUUCUUUGUUUCAUAUUUAUAUUCCCUUUAUAUUCGAGGAGUACCCAGACGGGACCUUCAUACUANNNNNNNNNNNNNNNNNNNNNNNNNNNNNNNNNNNNNNNNNNNNNNNNNNNNNNNNNNNNNNNNNNNNNNNNNNNNNNNNNNNNNNNNNNNNNNNNNNNNAGGACGUAAGUAGUGCUGUCCAUUAUCUCUCUUUUCCGGAUGUAGGUCAUCUCGUUGCCCCAUGGCUUUCAGGUCCUGUCGUGCUUCCAUGUAUCUUUUGAGGUUCCAUAAACACCCAUGAAGCCUAGCACGUUCACGCAAAGAUUCUUCAUCAGGUGCAUCACAUCUAUGGCGUUGCGAACCUCUACGAUUUCCCAAUAAGGUAGCUCCCAAAAUAUUGACUUUUUCUUCCACAUGGGUGCAUGUCCGUUAUCAUCGUUCGGAACAGGUUGGCUACCAAGUCCCUUUCCAAAGACUACAUGUACAUCCUUCAUCAUCUCGAAAACACGCAUUCAUUACGUGUGCAGGUUUUUUACGAUGGUCUGGCGUCCCUUUGAAAUGCAUCCCGCUCUUUCUCAGCUGGUGGUGAGCAGGGAGAAAUCGACGAUGACCCAUAUAGAUGACCUUCUUACAGUGCUUCAAGUACAUGCUAUCUGUGUCGUCUAAACAGUGGGUGCAUGCCCGAUAUCCCUUAUUUGUCUGUCCUGAAAGGUUACUCAAUGCAGGCCAAUCGUUGAUGGUUACGAACAACAGUGCUCGUAGAUUAAAGAUCUCUUGUCUAUCCUCAUCCCACACACGUACACCUUCUUCCUUCCAGAGCUGUAAAAGGUCAUCAACCAACGGCCUUAGGUACACGUCAAUGUCGUUGCCGGGUUGUUUUGGGCCUUGGAUAAGCGCCGGCAUCAUAAUGAACUUCCGCUUCAUGCACAGCCAAGGAGGAAGAUUGAACAUACAAAGGGUCACAGGCCAAGUACUAUGACCACUACUCAACUCACCGAAUGGAUUGAAUCCAUCAGUGCUUAAACCAAACCUUAUGUUCCUUGCUUCACUUUCAAAGUCUGGGAAUGUUCUAUCAAUUGAUCUCCACUAUGCCCCAUCUGCGGGGUGUCUCAGCAUCUCAUCUUCCUUACGGUCUUCUUUGUGCCAUCGCAUCAACUUAGCAUUCGCCUUGUUCCUGAACAAGCGCUUCAAGCGUGGUAUUAUAGGGAAAUACCACAUCACCUUCGCGGGAACUCUCUUCUUGGGAGACUGCCCCUCGACAUCACCAGGAUCAUCUCGCCUGAUCUUAUACCGCAGGGCUUCGCAGACGGGACAAGCAUCCAAUUUCUCGUAUUCAUCACCACGAUAGAGGAUACAGUCAUUAGGGCAUGCGUGUAUCUUCUGAACAUCCAAUCCGAGAGGGCAAAUAAUCUGUUUAGCUUCAUAUGUUGUGGACGGUAAUUCAUUAUUCUCGGGGAGAAUCUUCUUGACAAUGUUCAACAUCCCCUGAAAUGCCUUAUCGGACACACCAUUUUUUGCCUUCCAUUGCACAAAUUCUAGUGUCGUACCUAGUUUUUUAUGGCCCUGCUGGCAACCUGGGUACAACAAUUUUUGGUGAUCAUCUAUCAUGCGCUGCAACUUUGCUGCUUCCUUCUCAGUUUCGCAAUCUCUGUAUGCAUCUCGUAUCACCUGACCAAGGUCAUCAGUAGGGUCAUUUUCUGCAAACUCAUCUUCAUCAGCCUCGCCCAUUGUAGUACCUGCAAAAGCUUGGCCUGCAACCUAGUCCGGAAUGGUGUCAUCUUCCUCCUCCUCCUCGCCAUCUUCCAUUACAACCCCUAGUUCACCGUGCUUGGUCCAAACCAAAUAGUUAGGCAUGAAACCGUAUUUAAACAAGUGGCUGUGAAUAGUCCCCCAGGAAUCCUUUGAAUACUCCUUCCUGUUAUUGCAUUGGAAGCAUGGACAACAUACGAACCCAUUCUCUGCCUUGUUCGCUUUUGCCACUUCGAGAAAAUAAUGCAAGCCAUCAAUAAACACCUUGCUCCGUCUGUCUGCAUUAUACAUCCAAUGCCGGUCCAUCUGCAUCGUAUUACGCAUGAAAAUGGAUUACACUUCACAAUGGAUUACGCGUGAAAAUCAAUUAAAGAUCCAAACAACAUGGUACAAUACAACAACAUGAAGAUCCAAAUAUACAUAUUUAAAUUAAAGUCCCAAACACUGCAUAAGUUGUUCAACUUGAAGACCGUGAUCAUCUCGCGAGGAUGUCCUCAACUGGGCGGCACCGGUAUUCGUCAUGAAAGAGGUUAGAUGCUACGGAAAAGGGGACACGGUCACGAUGUCCGUAUCCACUCUUUCUCGUAGAAUCGAACCUCCUUCUUGACAUACGUUGCUGCUCGGCGGAAAAAAUCCUCGGAGAGAUGAACACGGUAUGCAAGUUCAACAAGUAGCAGAAUUCAUCUAUGUACAAAAAUUCUUUCCUUACCACUACAGAAGUUGUUGAACUUGAAGACCGUGUUCAUUUCGCGAGGAUGUCCUCAGCUGGGCGGCACCGCACUUCGUCAUGAAAGAGGUUAGAUGCUACGGAAAAGGGGACACGGUCACGAUGUCCGUAUCCACUCUUUCUCGUAGAAUCGAACCUCCUUCUUGACAUACGUUGCUGCUCGGUGGAGAACAUUCUCGCCGAAAUGAACACGGUAUGCAAGUUCAACAAGUAUAUGGAUUUAAAAAAUCAUAUUGAAUUUGAUAAGAUAAACCGUCUAGACAAGGUAGCAUAUGGAUUUAAACCACUGCAAUAAUGCAUACUAUAUAUGACACAUCAAUCUCCCUCACAUUCUAGCUCAAAAUACCUCUCCAUUUUUCUACUUCAUCAUCACAUUGUAGCAAAUAAUCUUUCCAUCUCCAAAGAAUAAAUCAAAGCAUAACACGAGGAUGAAGUAGCAAACCUUCGCAUUACUUGUGUUGGCCGAGUGAAAUUCCCACGAAAAUGAGGGAAAAAACUUCGGGCAGCACCUCCCUUGCUUGGGCACCACCGGAGAGUAGGUGAAGCUCAGCUCUCUAUCAAUGUGCUGGACUGCUCGGGCUGGAGGAAGAAGAAAGUCUCUGUCUCGGGAUAUAGUGGGGGAUGAGUUUUUAUCCCGGUUAAAAACUCCAACCGAGACAAAAGGAAACACCUUUUGUCCCGGUUGGAAGUUAGUCCCGGUUGGAGGAUCCAACCGGGAUAAAAGGGUCCCGCCACCGACGGCCCCCCGCUAGCCGUUGCAACCGGGACUAAAGGGGGGCCUUUAGUCCCGGUUGCAAUUACCAACCGGGACUAAUGCUCCCCUCCAAAUUCCCGCACCCCGGCGCACCCCCUUUUGUCCCGGGCCACUUUUAAACCGGGAUAAAAGGGGGCGGAUCGAAAGUCAGUUCUCUACUAGUGGCUGUUUCAUGUUCCUCCCUAAGAACUAUUUUUAUCUAAAAUUAGGCUGAUGUUGUCAAGCUAGGGGUACAUAAACACUUGUAGAUUAUUGAUUCUGCAUUUACAUCAUCCAAAUUUGCCUUCAGCAAAGCAUCAAGGAAGCAGACAUCCUUGACAUGCGGCUACCAGAAUGAGAUUCAAGUGCAGUUGAACGUUGAUUGGUGAGUUUUUUGUAGAUUACCCAUGAUUACUAAUGUGUUUUGGCUAUUGUCGAUCCUUCAGAAUAUUUAUGACAACCAAUAGUUCUAGAGCAAAAAAAAGCACCCAAAACGUUGUUCUCAACCACAUAUCGCUAAAUAGGAAAAGACUUCAUUUCAAUGCAGGGUCCUCGUAAGGUUGGUGGAUCAAUUAUAUCGUGAGCCACAUACCAUUUAUUUGAACGUAUACAUUACUACAACUUAUAACUGUAUAUUAUAUAUUUGGUCACAUGUUUUUUUAAUUGUUAAACAUUGAGAAUAUGAAUACAAGAAACAGCUAGUCACGCCAUAGCAAAGGAAAACAUUGAACCGUUUUCCUUUCUGCACAUGUUACCAGAUAGAUACCCCUCCGUUCCAACUUGUAGGUUGUUUUGACUUUUGUAGGUUCAUCUCUACAAGUAAGGUUUCUUCCUAGGUUUUCGUACGUCAUGGCUAUUUUGCAAAAAAGUCCCUCAACUUUUAUGGAAUCAACCCGCAGUUUAAAUUCUGAAGAGAGGGAGGGCUCGGGUGGAAAAAGGAGGGGAGGGAGGGGGUUAAAGGGGAAAAAGCUUCUCCUUUCCUCAAAACAGAGAGGCGAAGGAGGGGAAUUGGGCGCGGGCGGCGGCUGGAGUAGGGCACCCCGCCACUGCCCCGCGCGCGGCCUCGGUGGCGAGGUCGGUUGGGCAAUACGCAAGUACCAGAAGAGCACGGAGCUGCUGAUCUGCAAGCUCCCCUACCAGCACCUCAUCCGCGAGAUCAUGCAAGACUUCAAGACAAACCUGCGAUUCUAGUCCUUGGCCAUGGUGGCGCUGCAAGAGGCCACAGAGGCGUACCUCGUGGGGCUGUUCGAGGACACCAACCUCCGCGCAAUCCAUGCCAAGCGCAUCACCAUCAUGCCCAAGGACCUCCCACUACUGAAGAACUGAACUUCCAUCCAUCCCUUUUGUCCCGGUUAAUAUUUAGCCCGUGACUAGUCCUGGGUCAAAAAUGAGACACCGAAAGGACACUGACAAGAGAGACUUUAGACCCGGUUGAAAAGAUCUGAUAGCGAUGUCCCCCCCUUGUCCCGAUUGGAAAUUCUAACCAUGACAAAAGACCCCCUUUUGUCACGGUUGGUAAUUCCAACCGGGACAAAAGAUUUAUUCCCGGUUGGAAUUACCAACCAGGAUAAAUGGGGGAGUUUUUAUCCCGGUUAGAAUUUCCAACCGAGACAAAAGGAGAGCUUGAGCGCUAGAUUUCACGCUGCUCUCUCUUCACCUCUUCUUUAUUAUCCUCCCAGGCAGCUCCUCCCCAACAUUUAUCUACUUCCUCUCCUCAUCCCCUCCACGCCAGCGCUCCCCUCGUCCCUCUCCUCAUCCUCCUCCAGCUCCCUCCUGCCGUCACCGCCCCCUCCCCAUCUGCUACCCCUCCCCUUCCCCCUCUGCUCGCCCCUCACUGGCAGCGAGGAGCAGCAGCGGGGCGAGGUGUGGGGCAGUGGCUAGCGUGGGCGAUCAUGGCGGCGGGCGUGGGCGGCACGAGCGGCAGUCAGCACGGGGCGCGGACGAGCCACGGCGCAAGUGGUGGCCAGAGCGGGGCCUGGACGAGUGGCGGUGCGGCACAGGCCGGCGCCGGCGGCCGAGUGGCAGCGGUCGCGGUGGCCGGCGCGGGCCGCGGACGAGCGGCGGCGGGCGCGGGCGGCCGAGCAGCGGCGGUCACGGUGGCUGGCGCGGGGAAGGCGGAGGCGGAGGCCGGGCGCGGGGGAGGUGGAACCGAACCUUGACGGGCGCGGGCGGAGGCUAGGCCAGCGGCCGGCCGGCCGGCGGGCGUGGGUUUUUUUAAUUUGUUUUCAAAAUUUUUUAGUCCUGGUUGGUAAUACCAACCGGGACUAAAGGAAGUCUUUAGUCCCAGGUCCGGGACUAAAGGACUCCCUUUUAUUUUGAAAAAUUUAUCCGAAUGAUCUUUCGGUAAAUUUGAGACCACCAACCGGGAUAAAAACCAAGAUUUCCAGUUGUGUCCAGGUCGCCUGCCGCGUCAGGGGCGAGAGGGCUUGAGCGCGUGUGAUGCUACGUCUUCGUUGUAGUGCUAGAACUAGAUGGGUGGUUCGUUUCUUGCCGUGCUAUCUUGUAGUAAUGUUCUGAAUGUGUUGGUCUCACUUCAAUGGAAUGCGAUUGCAAGUUUCUGAAAUUUCUGAAUGGCUCUGUUCUCGUGAGAUAUGCUGUCCGUUCCAUGCCAUCUGUUGUGAUUAAAGUGUUGAGUUGCUGGAACGAAUAGAUCUGGUGUAGUCGCUUUUAGAAAUGUGGGCCUGCAGAAUUGAUUUUGUGUCAAAAAUGCUGUUGCAUAUCCCCCUUUUUGCUCUGAAGGCUAGAGUGUUGGAGAUGCCCAAGAGGGCCUGGCCCAAUUAGCAAGCUAAUCACCGGUCACGAAAGGAUUAACCUAAGGGCUAAUUGCUUCCUGGCUGCCGCACGCCAGGCUCUAGCUGCCGCCAAGCUCCUGCCGUAUGACUUGCCUCUCUGGUGCGCCGCUGCCGCCGCACGCACCUGCCUGGUGCACUGCUGCAGUUCCCCUCCCUGAUCAAAGGUUGAUCGCGGGGAUCUCAAGUACGUGCCGUUGAGUGCUAGUAUGCUUCGGUUCGUUGUCUCAUCCCAUACGUGUGGACUGCCGUAGAGGUGUCGUUAGCUUGCACACUUCAUCAGAUUGUACAACUACCUCGACGUCGAUUGGAUCGACUACUCAUGCUUCAUCAAGACUUCCGCUGUGACGCGCGACGAACGAAGGUAUAAUCUAAGAUCAUCUACUCGCAAGUGAUCCUGUUUACGCGUUUAUUUUAUUGUGUGCUAGAGAGUAGCAUGACGCGUUCCCUACCGCGUUUCCUAACAUAGAGCUGGUGCCCUCAAUUGCAGAAUCAAUGGCCUUAACUUUGCUCUUCAUUCUCAUGAGCUGCUGCUGCCGGUUGCUGCUCCAAAAACACAGAAAAGCAGUCCCUUCCUUAAUGAUUCUUGUCCAAAUCCAAACAUAAACUUGCCAAUCGCCUUUAAACAAAGAUGUACCUGGAUCAACAAGCUACAUGUGCUAGAUAGGGCUUUGGUUUCAUAGAUCGAAAGAUACAAGUCUCUAAACUUUGGGAAAAACACCAGUUACAUUGAACCUUUAGAAUUUGCUCCCGUCAGUUAUCUCCAAAGCACCGAAAGGCCACCUUUUCUUGAGCACAGAUCAUCUAAACUUUGGGAAAAACACCAGUUACAUUGAACCUUUAGAAUUUGCUCCCGUCAGUUAUCUCCAAAGCACCGAAAGGCCACCUUUUCUUGAGCACAGAUCAUCCAAAUCUAAUAACAAACUCUCCAAGUGCCUUUAACCAAACUUGUAGAGGUACUAUAGGGCUGCAAGUUCUAGAUAGAACUUUGCUCAAAAGAUCUUUGGUUUGGAAGAUUGAGAGCUCUGACUUUCGGCUAGGAACUGAACAUUCCGGUUUCAAUUUCAGAAAUUUUCAAUGCACUUCUAACAGUCUAAAAUGCCCACCUUUCAAAUUUUGAGCUCCAUUUAAAAUAUUCAAACAUUAUUUCUUGUGAACAACAACUAGACACUAUAUCCUCGUAAACACAUAAUUAACCAAACACGCAUACCAAGAGUGCAUCAAACAAUAAAUAUUUUGGUUUAUUGUGUUCGAGAAAUGAAUAAUUAUUUUAGUAUAAGGAUAUAUGUUAACAGAAAUGCAAUAAAUAUAUAGUGAGAGAGAUAGAAAAAAAGACCACGAGUUUUAAAAAUUAUUUCCUUCAACUCAAAUACCCAUUAAAUUAAAAUAUUUUUUUAUUCAAGCGAGAGAGCCUCGGAUCACCACCGACGGGGGGCUCUUUAGUCCCGGUGGAUAAUAUCGACGGGACUAAAAAACCCCUUUAGUCCCGGUUGUAAAGGCUAGUGGCCCUCGGGAUGCCGCUCACCUCGGCCGAGGGAGAGGGAGGAGGAGCUGGGGGAGAGGGAGGAGAGAGAGAGGGAAGAGAGGAGGUGGGGCCGGAGGGAGAAGGAGAGGAGGCUUGUGGGCAUUGGAAUUAAGGAGAGGAGGCUUGGGCGCUGGAAUUAAGCAGAGGGAGGAGAGAGGUGGCCAUCAAAGGCUGAUUUAACUCUCAUGCUUGAAUAAAAAAAUAUUUUAAUUUAAUGGGUAUUUGAGUUGAAGGAAAUUUAUUUUCUAUUAAAUGUGUAGACAUCCAAUAAGUGGAAUAAAAAUUUAGUGAUGGAAAUAAAAAAUAUCAUUAGUUUGAAAAACACAAUUGACCUUUUGCCGUAGCAACGUCACGUGCAUUUUGCUAGUAGUGACCUAAAUAUACAUUAUAUCUAGAUGCAUAAUAAUAUCUAUGAAUCUAAAAAAGCUAAAAUGACCUACAAUUGGGAACGGAGGGAGUAUUAGUUAACAUUGACUAUACUGCACGACAAUAACAAAUGGUUGGUGGACCAAUAAUUCUUUAGACAUAUCGACCUUACAAACAUACAUCAGGCUUUUACCAUUUAUAUGGACAUUAGAUUGGAACAAAUUGAUGCAAGGAACAUACAGUUUUGAUUUAAGUACGGAUGGAUUCAAUCCAUUCGGAGAGUUCAGUAGUGGUCAUAGUACUUGGCCUGUGACCUUAUAUAUGUUCAACCUUCCACCAUGGUUGUGCAUGAAGCGGAAGUUCAUUAUGAUGCCGAUAACUAUCCAGGGCCCAAAACAACCUGGCAACAACAUUUAUAUUUACCUAAGACCGUUGGUUGAUGAACUUCUACUAUUAUGGAAGGAAGAAGGUGUAUGUGUGUGGGACGAGGACAAAAAGGAGACAUUUAAUCUACGAGCAUUGUUGUUUGUAACCAUCAACGAUUGGCCAGCGCUUGGUAAUCUGUCCGGACAGUCAAACAAGGGAUUCCGAGCCUACACACAUUGUUUAGAUGAUACUUGCAGCAUGUAUUAGAAGCACUGCAAGAAGGUCGUGUAUACAGGCCAUCAUCAAUUUCUUCCAGAUAAGCACGCUCUAAGAAAGAAAGGGAAGCAUUUUGAAGGGAAGGAAGAAGAAGGUAAUAAGCCCCUUUACCAUAAUGGUAAACGUAUAUUUUCUAUGAUAAAGGAUGUGAGGGUAGUCUUUGGUAAGGGCUCUGGUAGCCAACCAAUUCCGAACAACGAGGACGGACAUGCACCCAUGUAGAAGAAGAAAUCUAUAUUUUGGGAGCUAUCUUAUUGGGAAGUCCCUGAGGUCCGAAUUGCAAUUGAUGUGAUGCACCUGAUGAAAAAUCUCUACGUGAACGUGCUUGGCUUCUUGGGUGUAUAUGGAAAGGUAAAGGAUACACUUGAAGCACGUCGGGACCUGAAACUUAUGAAUCAACGAGAUGACCUACAUCCGGAAAAAAGAGAUAAUGGCAUUACUUGCAUCCUGCCAGUUACACUCUUAGUAAGGAAGAUAAGGAAAGCAUGUUUGAGUACUUGAAUAGUAUCAAGGUCCCAUCGAGCUACUCCUCAAAUAUAAAGGCAUUAAUAAAUUUGAAAUAGAAGAAAUUCAUAAAUCUAAAGGCCCAUGACUGCCAUCUCCUCAUAACACAAUUGUUGUCUGUUGCACUGAGGGGUAUUCUUCCAGAAAAUGUGAGAAUGGCAAUCAUGAAGCUAUGUGCAUUCCUCAACAUGAUUUCAAUGAAGGCAAUCCAUCCAGACAAUCUACGGAAGCUGCAGAAUGACGUGGUGCAAUACCUUGUUAGUUUUGAGAUGGUCUUUCCACCUUCCUUCUUUAAUAUCAUGACCCACCUUGUAGUCCACCUUGUUGAAGAGAUUUUUGUUCUCGGUUCUAUAUUUCUACACAAUAUGUUCCCUUUCGAGAGGUUUAUGGCAAUUCUGAAGAAGUAUGUUCAUAGUCAUGCCCUUCCGGAAGGAAGCAUUACAAAGGGAUAUGGAACAGAGGAGAUAAUUGAGUUUUGUGUUGACUUUAUGGAUGACCUGAGUUCGAUUGGAGUCCCUACAUCACGCUAUGAGGGGAGACUGAAGGGAAAGGGCACACUAGGGAGGAAUGGUCAGAGGGAUAUCGAUGAGGAGACAUUACGUAAAGCACACUUCAUGGUCCUACUGAAAUCAUCCCUGGUCGCUCCAUAUAUGGAGGAGCACAUGGCUAAUGUACGGUCCUCAAACCAAGGGAAGACUGAGGUCUGGAUUACACGUCGUCACAUUGAAACAUUUGGCACUUGGUUGCGGCAUAAACUGAUGGGUGAUGACACCAUUGAAGAACAACUAGCAUGGUUGGCUAGGGGUCCAUUUAUGUCAGUAUCAACAUUCCAAGGAUACGAAAUAAAUGGGUACACAUUUUACACCAGAGCCCAAGAUCAAAAGAGCACAAACCAAAAUAGUGGUGUCCGUAUCGAUGCAAUAGACAGCAGUGGAAAAAAAGACAGACACUAUGGUGUCAUUGAGGAGAUAUGAGAAGUCGACUAUGGACCUUUGAAAAUCCCUCAGUUUCGAUGCCAAUGGGUGAAACUUACUGGAGGAGGCGUAAUGACAGACAACUAUGGGAUCACAAUAGUGGACCUCAACAAGAUUGGAUACAUAGACAAACCAUUCAUCCUACCCAAUGACGUGACUCAAGUUUUCUAUAUGAAGGACAUGGCAAGCAAAGCAAUAAGGAAGGCCGCUAAUAGGUCAGGUUAUCAGCCAAAGCGCCACAUUGUUCUUCUAGGGAAAAGAAAAAUCGUUGGAGUUGAGGACAAGACUGACAUUUCAGAACAUUAUGAUCAGUUCGAUGAUCUUCCUCCAUUUUCAUUUGAGGUUGACACAAGCAUCCUGUUAGCCAAAGAGGACACUCCAUACUUACGUCGCAAUCACAACCAAGGGACGUUCGUUAAGAGGAGGGUUAUUAACCUUCCAUUAGAUGAUGAUGCAUAAUGUAUUUGAACAAUUAUGUUGUGUUUUUUAUUAUCAACAAAGGCAUUAAUGUAAUUGUGAAUGGUUAGAUCUUGUUUUUCCAAAUACAAUUGUCAUGUGUUGUUUAACUUUUUUGUCUGGCUAAAAUAUUGUUUAACUGAUUUUUGCAUGGUUAAAAUAUUAAAUAUUUUGAUUUUUAAGCACCAUUAAAUAUUAACACAAUAAAUUUACAUACAAUUAAACAAGAACAUGAUUAAGGGGUUGUUUGGAUAUGAGGUGCUAAACUUUAACAGUGUCACAUCGGAUGUUCAGAUGCUAAUUAGGAGAACUAAACAUGAGCUAAUUAUAAAACUAAUUGCAGAACUCUGUGCUAAUUCACGAGACGAAUCUUUUAAGUCUAAUUAAUCUAUCAUUAGCAAAUGGUUACUGUAGCACCACAUUGUCGAAUCAUGGACUAAUUAGUCUUAAUAGAUCCGUCUCAUGAAUUAUACUCCAUCUGUGCAAUCAGUUUUGUAAUUAGCCUAUGUUUAAUACUCCUAAUUAGCAUCCAAACAUCCGAUGUGACAGGUGUUAAACUUUAAUAGGGUGUUUCCAAACACCCCCUAAGUCACGGUAAACAUGUUAAGAACAGUAGAGGCACCAUUCUUCUAAAUUUUUGCAUGGUCAAAAAAUCUUUUUUUUGAAUUUUAAAGUGAAUAGAAGUAUUAUGACCAUUAUAUCCUACUACUAAGUUAAAAUUAAUAACUUUACCAUAUUUGAUAUUGACCGCAUCUGAUAUUUUUAUAGUGUAUAUCUUAUAAACAUGAAGCUACCAAAUUAUUGUUACAAUUUUUAUGAAUGUUAUUAAGUUUACUAUGUAAUAAAUUAAUAUAAUAGCAAUUGUAAAAGAAAGAAAAAAAUAAAAAAAUGGGCGGGGAAUUGAAAAAGGGUCAUGUUGCGCUUCGUCCUCCUCCUCCCGAUCCGCCACCUCUCCGCCGCCGUCUGCCGCCUCCGUUGCCACCCCUCAACGUCGACGCCGCCCCCCGACGCCGCGCGACGCCGUCCUAGCUGGCCCCGACGGUGCCGCCCCGUCCCGACGCGACGCUGCCCCGCCUCUGACGCCGCCGCACCGACGCUGCCGCCCCACCCCACCCCCAACGCCGCUGCCCAGCCUGUGACAAUGCCACCCCAUCUCUGUUGCCCUGACACUGCCUCCCCGUCGACCGCCGCCUACCCCGGUCGCCUCCCCGUGGGCCGCUGCCUACCCCGGCCACGUCCCCGCCGGCCUCCACCGGCGCCGCCCGACGCCGCCCCACCCCCAGCGCGCUUGCCCUGCAGAUUUGGAGUAGCUAGAAAUUAUAGAAAAUUGAAAUACUUAGAAAUUGAAAUCAUGCCAUUUAUUUUUUUAGAAUUGAUUCUUCCCAUGAAUUGAAAUACUUAGAAAUUACCAACAAAUCUGCUGUGACGUCAUUGUUAUACAAAAAUGUUGAAAAUAGCUAGAAAAUUAUCGAAUAUUAUAGAAAAUUAUCUAGAAAUUGUUGGAAAUCAUGCCAUUUAUUUUUUUUCAUUCUAUUUAAAUGUUGUAUAGUGUUAGAAAUUUGUAUAAGUGUUGGAAAUUAUCUAUCAAUGUUUUAUAAGUGAUGUCAUUAUUGUUUCAUUCAAUUUUUGUUGUUAUUUUCUAGCAGUGUUUCAUUCUAUUUUUGUUGUCAUUUUCUAGCAGCGUUUUAUUCUUUUUUGUAUAAGUGACGUCAUUCAAUUCAUUUUUCUAUUUACUCACUUAUUUAUUUCAACCAAUUGUAUAAGUGUUUCAUUCUUUUUGUGUCACCCUAUUAUAUUAUACCAGUUACAAUGGCACGAUCAGACGACGAGCGUGACCCUCAAACGGCAGAGGAGCUCCUAUAUCGGAUAAUUGCUAAAGGUGGCAAUCAAGCAAAUGAAGAGAUCGAUCAUAGCCAGGCUGACAUCUACAUCAACCUGGUUGGUGAUGGCAUCAAGGAGCAAUCAAUUGCCGAGGGAGGCAAUGUGGAGCAACCAGAUGCCGAGGGAGGCAAUGUGGAGCAACAAGGCGAGGUAUAGCAAGUAUUAUACGUAAACAUUAUUUGAAUUCUCUUCUUAUCAAAAGAAACAUCAUCACGCAACAUUUCAAUUGUCAUUUUUCAGCCAUCUGGAUCAAGCAAAAGGCCUCAAAAGAAACGAGGCAAGAAUAAGAAGGCCGAGGGCCGUAUCAUCAUCACAGAAAUUGCUGAAGAUGGUGAACUGAUUGCUCCUGCCAAAGCUAAGACAAGUUGGUGGAUCAUAUUGGGUUCCUUGUCAGAGAUAACAUCCCAAUUGGCUUUCAGAAUUGGAAAAAAACCUGACAUAGUCCUGAUCAGCACAAACCCACUCCUUUACGUACCUAACCGAGAGAAGGCUAUGGUAUGGGAACAAGUAAAACAAAAAUUUAGGUUCGAAAAUGUAGACGAAGCCAAAGUGAAAGAAUGGGGCUUGAAGAAGGGUGCGAUUGCAUUUUAGACGUACAAGAAAACCUUGACCAAGGAGUACAUAAAGAAGGGGCUUGCACCAGAUUUAAAUAAGCAUCCGAAGAUAAGGGAUCACUGGGAUUCCUUUGUAUAGUUCAAGGAGUCGAGCAGUAGCCAGUUGUCAACUCAAACCAACACCGGCAAUGCCCAGCAGAAGUGAUACUUCCAUCAUCUUAGGAUUGGAGGUUACAAGUCUACGACCGCGAAAUGGCAAAGGAUGGAAGAUGACCUAAUUGCUAGGGGAAUAGUACCAUAUACUCUCGAAUGGCCUGAGUGAGAAAAAAAAUUGGUUUUAUGCUCAUGGCGGCAGGCUCAAUCCUAAAGAUGGAUCAAUUGUCAUCAAAAAUGAAAUAAGAGAAGCGGCUACUAGACUUGAUGACUUCGUGAAAAAAAUAGCUGAUGGAUCCUUCGUGCCUGAUCGAGAGAGGGACGAGCUGACAAUGGCACUUCAAAAUCCUGAACACCCUGUAUGAUACCGAGGCAAAGGACUCAUUCUGUGGAAGUAUGCGUUUUGUGAGAACAUUGAAUCAUAUAGAAGUCGCCAGAGAAGCAAGGACAACCAAGCACGACAGCUGUGAGAGCUGCAACAACAAGUAGCAGCAUCCAAGGCAAGAAUAGAGGAAAUAAUAGAUGAGCAUGUGGCCAUAGCUCUGAGCAAACAAGCCAGUCAACAAGCAGCUGCUGCAGCACCAGGGCUACAUGUCAACGUAAGCCUGACUCAGCGUCGAAGCAGUGUCACUUCGACGGAAGCCGCAACUGGAGGAUCCACUAACAUCAUUGAGGAACACCACCUCGUGGACGACAUCACAGGGAGAGCCUCUUGUGAGCUUUUUACUCCUGUGAGAAACAAGCUCAUAGUGGUGGCUUAUGGUGUGGCUAAGCAACCAACGCAAGGCCAAACACUACAUGGCAUUCAGACUCAAGCUUGCUAUGCCAAGGUUGGGGUGGACCGAGUGGUCGACGGUUGGGAGGACUUGGAACUGGAGAUCCCUAGAGGUGACGGGGAAAAGAACUAGGAGAAGCUAUCCAUGGUUGGAUUCAGUGGCCCAAGGGCUACAUAAGGAUUACGCAGUCGAAUCCCCCCACCUUGGGUGCAUCUCCUCAAGGCUCAAGGGCACGAUCACUUACUCCAUCUGCCAGUGCACCCUCUCCACUACCAAACAAGUCUCCUAGCAUGAGUCCAGUACCAGAAAGGGAUCCAAGCAUGACUCCAACUCCCCCUCCUAUGAAGAAGCAUUCAGUUCCUCCUCCACCUCCACCUUCUAAGAAGAAGCAGAAGAAGCAGAAGGAGAAUGCACCAGCUGAGAAAUUACCGUAUGAUAUGAUAGAUGAGGAAUGUAAGGCUGUAGCGGCUGCUAAGCAUGAAAAAUGGAAAGAGGCUUGUAAAGAAGCAAGAAGGAAGAAACAGAAUUCGAAGCCACCACUGGAUAAGCAUAAGCUUCGGUCUUUCAUCAGAAAAAUGGAGGCGGAGCAAAGGAAAAAGCUAGAAAACCUCCUCUAUCUGAUUACGAUAGGCAAAUAACAAAGUAGGCAGCUCAUAAGAGGAAGAAAAGUGGGAAAUCUAUUUCUCAACUCAGAGAGCAAUCCAACCAAUUGGUUGCCCCGCUUGUGGUACUUUCUGAGUUUGACAAAAACCUGGUUGAAUUUGCUAAAAAUACAAAUCUGAUAGUAGCACAACUUCAAGGGGAGGAUGACAUCCCAACGCUCCCUGUGCCUGUUGAAUGGAAAUAUGAGUAUGGUAUAUUUCCGAAGUUUGUGAAAUAUCUACCAACGAAGAUGUACAAGCUGCACCAAUGGUACAAGCAGGCUACAUCAAAUGGUUAUGUUGCGAUGGAAGUUCGGGUUGGUGAUCAACAUUACUUCCAUGGUGAUGAUAUCAUAAUGGUGGACCUAGACGAACUGUACAUGCUAUACAAUCAAGAUGCACUAGACAAGUCACUAAUCAGUAGCUGGGUCCUGUAAGUCUUUAGUAUAUUCCUCUAACUUCAAAAUCCUCGCUCUAGUCAAUUUUCGAUAUCUUAACUCCUAUUUGAUUUUGCAACGUGCAGUAUGGAGAUGCAAUAUUGUCGUAGUAUGGGAUACCAUGAUGUAGGCUUCAUGGACCCCUUCAAUUAUUUUUCAGGAUAAUCUAAGGGAUAAACCAAAAUGGACCUUGAAGAAUAUAUUUAAGUUCCUCGAGAAGCAUUGGGACAAGAUGCGCAUAUUACUACUGUGGAACUUCGAGUGAGCAUUUUCCCACCUCUUUCUUUUCCGAACUAGCACUUAAACAUAAUACUAACUACCUUCAAUUUGGAUGUACAGGUACCAUUGGGUACUCAUUAUUAUUAUCCCUGAUCAGAGCUUAGUGACUGUCUGGGACUCUUUGAGGAAACCAAAAGGAAAAUUCGAUAACACCAUGAACACUCUGAACAAAUGCUGGACUCGAUUGCGUCGGACUCACAAGGGUGAUUUCAAGGAGCAACUCGAUUUGCAUACACAUUUCCCGGUCUAUGUUGAAUUUUCACAUCUCGUGACACUUCUCUUAACACAACAAAUAUUUCAUAACUUUUUCCAUAUAUAUAGUGUGCGAGACAGCAGGAGGGUACUCAUUUAUGCGGAUACUACAUUUAUGACUCAUCCACGAAUUUGUGGGUCCGAAACGUAUCACCGAACAAGAAAUAACCGUACGUAUACAAAAUUAAUUUGCUUGUACUUCAAAAACCAAAUUAGGUGUAUAUAUGUAGAAUAUUAAAUUAAGUAUUUCAAUUCGGAUGCUUAUACUUCAAAAACCAAUUCAAGUGUAUAUACUUAGAAAAAUUAGAUUAAGUAUUUCAAUUCAUAUGCUUAUACUUCAAAAAAAGUUUCAAUUGUUCAACAAAUUUAGAUUAAGUAUUUCUAAUUCAUUUGGCAAUGACACAAAUGAUGAACAGGAAGGAAAAACUUCUCGACACCGAAGUUUUCAGGGCAAUACAAGAUCAACUAUGUGGAUUUCUUCUGGACGAGGUCGCAAAUUUUGCGGGCGAGUUUCAUAAUUCAAGAUCUAAUCUAGUGCACAAAGCGGACUCGAGUUCAGAUUAGUAAUUAAAUACGAUAUUUCUAUGCACAAUAUGUAUAUAUAUAUAUAAUAUUAUCUCAAAUCUUAUAUUAAAGAUAAAUAGAACUUUCCAUAAAUUAGCAUAUUAGAACUAGUAUACGUAAAGGAAACAAAUACAAAAUAUAGACUAAAACACAGAAAUAAGAAAAGAAAAUAAAAAAAAACUUAGUACCGGUUGGGUAUACCACCAACCGGUACUAACGAGAGCACCUCCCCGCAUGGCGUGGGAAGCUCUUUAGUACGGUUGGUAUCCCUAACCGGUACUAAAGAGUACAUUUUAGUACCGGUUAUUUGAACCAGAACUAAAGGGUCCCCCUCUAGUACCGAUUGGCCAGUACCGGUUGCACAACCGGUACUAGAGGGGGGUUAUAAACCGGUAUUGGAUGUCAUUUUUCCAGUAGUGUACCAUGGGCUAGCUCGCUGAAGUGCCAAACUGGACGCUGAAAUAAGCAGAGGGGGUCUUAUAUCCCGGUUGAGGGAUCCGUGAUAAAAGACCCCCCGACUUUUAUCUCGAUGGAUUAAUCCCGGAUGCAUUUUCGGGAGAUAUGCACCCUACAAACCGGUACUAAUACCGAGUUCUCUACUAGUGAAUGCUGAGACAGAAACCAGUGGAUGGCUAGGUAGCGCCGGCCGGUGAUUAAUCUCUCUCACACAACGACUGAAGAGUCUCCCUGGAUGGGAACCUGCUGAGGCCAGUGGCGAACUGUGUCGUGGUACACAUACUAGCUUUGUUUAGGUCUUCGUCUGGAACACAAAGUGUGUAAAUCUAUGGAGAGACGCCAUUUUAAACAGAAAGAUACGCUCACACAGUUUUGGCACCAUGGACUCGCUCAGAUCGAGCUAGCAGCACGCUAAGCUUUUCUCUGCUUCUUUCCAGCGUCAAGAUAGGCACUUCAGCGAGCAGCCCACGGUAGAAUUUCCCGGUAUGGAGCCCAACCGAUCAAGUCCUCCUAUGUGCUCUGCAGUACGCAUUGCACGCCGCUUAUUUGUCCGGUCCUAGCAUGUAUGUUCAGGUUUUAAUAGAAAAAAAAUCAUUUUUAACCUUUCAGGUUUUACGAAAAAAAGUCCAUUUUUGACCAUUGAUUAUUGAAUUAUCACCAGAGUCCGAUUUUGACCAUCAAGUUUCGUCAAAAAAUAAUCUAUUUAUUAAGAGAUGCCAUCUUAAACAGAAAGAUACUCUCACAUUUUUGGCACCAUGAACUCGCUCAGAUGAAGCUAGCAGCACGCUAAGCUUUUCUCUGCUUCUUUCCAACGUCCAGAUCAGCACUUCAACGAGCCAGCCCACGGUAGAAUUUCCCGGUACGGAGCCCAACCAGUACAGAUCAAUUCCACAUCUGUGCUCUGCAUUCCGCAUUGCACGCUGCUUAUUAGUACGGUCGUAACAUGUAGGUUCAGGAUUUUAUAGAAAAUAAAUCAUUUUUGACCAUUCAGGUUUUUAUGAAAAAAAGUUUAUUUUCGGUCAUUGAUUAUUGAAUUAUCACCGGAGUCCGAUUUUGACCAUCAAGUUUUGUCAAAAAUAAUCUAUUUAUUCAGAGACGCUAUUUUGAACAAAAAGAUACGCUUACACUUUUAGGACCAUGGACUUGCUCAGAUUGAGCUAGCAGCACGCUAAACUUUUCUCUGCUUCUUUCCAGCGUCCAGAUUGGCACUUCAGCGAGCCAGCCCACGGUAGAAUUUCCUGGUACGGAGCCCAACCAGUACAGAUCAAGUCCUGAGCUGUGCUCUGCAUUCCGCAUUGCACGCCGCUUAUUAGUCCGGUCCUAGCAUGUAUGUUCAGGUUUUUAUAGAAAAUAAAUCAUUUUUGACCAAUCAGUUUUUUAUGAAAAAAGUUCAUUUUUGACCAUUGAUUAUUGAAUUAUCAUCAGAGUCAAGUUUUGUCAAAAAAAUAAUCUAUUUAUUAAGAGACGUCAUCUUGAACAGAAAGAUACACUCAUACUUUUGGCACCAUGAAUUCGCUCAGAUGGACCUAGCAGCACGCUAAGCUUUUCUCUGCUUCUUUCCAGCGUCCAGUUCGGCACUUCAGCGAGCCAGCCCACGGUAGAAUUUCCCGGUACGGAGCCCAACCAGUACCGAUCAAGUCCUCAGCUGUGCUCUGCAUUCCGCAUUGCACGCCGCUUAUUAGUCCGGUCCUAGCAUUUAUGUUCAGGUUUUUAUAUAAAAUAAAUCAUUUUUGACCUUUCAGGUUUUUAUGAAAAAAAGUUCAUUUUUGGCCAUUGAUUAUUGAAUUAUCACGAGAGUCCGAUUUUGACCAUCAAAUUUUGUCAAAAAAUAAUCUAUUUAUUAAGAGCGCCAUUUUGAACAGAAAGAUACGCUCACACUUUUAGCACUAUGGACCGGCUCAGACGGAGCUAGCAGCAUGCUAAGCUUUUCUCUGCCUCUUUCCAACGUCCAGUUUGGCACUUCAGCGAGCCAGCCCACGGUAGAAUUUCCUGGUACGGAGCCCAACCAGUACAGAUCAAGUCGUCAGCUGUGCUCUGCAUUCCGCAUUGCACGCCGCUUAUUAGUCCCGUCCUAGAUGUAUGUUCAGGUUUUUAUAGAAAAUAAAUCAUUUUUUACCAUUCAGGUUUUUAUGAAAAAAGUUCAUAUUUGACCAUUGAUUAUUGAAUUAUCACCUGAAUCUGAUUUUGACGAUCAAGUUUUGUCAAAAAAUAAUCUAUUUAUUAAGAGACGCCAUCUUAAAUAGAAAGAUACGCUCACACUUUUGACAACAUGGACUCGCUCAGAUGGAGCUAGCAGCACGCUAAGCUUUUCAUUGAAGAAAGGCAAGUGUCCCUAACCAUCCUUCUACCUAUGCUUUGUUUAUAAUACCAUGAUAAUUUUUAAUCGGAACUUGGAGCGACCACCCAGGAAAACAGUGCUACCACAUGACUAAAUGGCUCUGGUCUUGGCUGAGUAAUUAGAAACUCUAGUCUAGGGUAAUCUUACCGAAAGGGCAAGAGGGGAGGCGCUGAUGGGGUAUAGCACUCAGCUCUCUUGGGAUGUGGGCUUUGCUAAGACAUUGUACCCAUUAGGAGACUGUUAUGCUCUGCUUCGACCUGAAAGCUUAGCGGGUUACCACUUACUAGCGAAUCUUUGUAAAGGCCUCGUAGCGUCCCGAUGCAAUCACACCUCGGAAGUGUGGUAUGGUGCUUGGCCAGCACCGCAUGGUUGGGUCCAAAAUUCUUCUGAACUUUGACGCGACUUGUGGGUAAAGAUGUGCCACCUCUGCAGAGUGUAAAACUGAUAUAUCAGUCGUGCUCACGGUUAAGAGCGGCCUGGACCCUCACAUGAUUAACUAAAUUUGAAGAUAGACUUAAAUCGUUAUUCUGGUUAUUUCCAGAACCAUAAGUGUACUCACCAUUGCUUACUGCUGCUCAGAAGAAGGUGUGUGGAGUAUUCCGACGAUGAUGCUGAGUUCUAAGCGUACGCAACCCCCAGUCGAUUGCCUGUGAAGUUUGGAGCCUCUGUUUCCGGAAUUAAGCUAUAUAUCUCUGAUGGUUUCGUAAGUCUUUUUUUUUAUCUUUUUACAUGAUAACUGUUGUUCACUUAUGAUGUCACUAUAGGUAUAAAACUUGAUGGUGACAUAUAUAGGUGCUUGGUCACACAUCUCGCCUCCACGGCCGUGACGCCAUCAUCCCAGCACCACAACGAUCGACCUCGUUAGCUUGCCGUGCGUGCGAGUCCAUCUCGCGGCGCGGCGCAGCGUUGGUCGCCCCAGUCGAUCGACACCGACAGCGACCCCUUUGUGGUUGUGGUGUGGUCGCCGCGCCGCGAUAAAACACGCCUAGAAGGCCAGAAUCGAUGAUAUCCCCCUCGCCAAAUUUUCCACGCCCCGAAUGGAGCGCAGCGAUCGAAAACCGUAAGCCGCGCAAACCACCGGCCACGGCCCGCACGGCCAAGGAACACGUCGUUCUCCUCCAGUCUCUCCCACCCUGCACCACGCGCCGGCGCCGCGCGCGCGCGCCUAUUUCUAGCUCGCCUCCUUCCGCCUCGCCGCCACGGAGUCCUCACCUCGACACACUCGAACACACCUCUGUUCCGGAAGCAGGGACAAGCAAAGCAAAGCUCUCACAAAGUCCCAAGCGAGCAGCACGGCGCAGCGGGGGCAUGCUGACGCUGCACCCGAGGGCGGUGGCGGGCGUCGCCGCGGAGGCGGCGGCGCCCGAGGACGGCCAUGACGAGGGCCGCGCCUGCUACUGCGUCGUGGCGGCCUGCGUCUCGCUGCUGCUCUUCGUCGUGCUGGCCGCUGCCACGGCCAGCGUCGCCAAGGCUUGCGCCGUAUCCGGCGCGGCCGUGCUCCUGCUCGGCCUCGCCGGCUGCCUCGCGCCCUCGUAGGACGGUGUUAAAGCGGCGGCGCGGCAGCAGGCUCCCGCUGCGCCCGUGCGGCUGGUGGUGCACCACCGCUGCGCCGCGUGCGGGCUGCCGGACGCCGCCAUCGGCGCGCUCCCGACGUUCGCAUACGAGCCGCCGCCGCCGCGGGCGCAGCAGCUCCGUGCUGCUCUGCGCGGUGUGCCUGGAGGACGUGCGGGCCGGCGAGGUGGUGCGCCAGCUCCUGGCGUGCCGCCACCUCUUCCACGGCGACUGCGUCGACGCCUGGCUGCGCGCGCACCGGACCUGCCCGCUCUGCCGCUGCGACCUCUCCCCGCCGAACGUCACCUCGAAGGCUGUCGCCCCUGCCCCGGCCGCCGCCGCCGCCGCCGCCGUCACGGUGGGGUCCUCGCCCGACGGCCUGCCGCCGGUGUGAGGACUCGAUCGUCACCAGUUCACCGGAAUCUGGGCGGCGCAUUCGUGAUUCCUACUGUACAUUCAUGAUCUCAAACACAGCAUAAAACAGACUUUUAGGUUGAUGGUAUAGUGUUCACUGUCGCUGAUGUGUAAUUCUUCAUUGCGACACAUGACCAAGCAAAGAUUUGAUUUCGAAAGCGCAGAAGAUAGCCAGCCAGCCGUGCGUCGCCGGACACGACCGCGAGAAAUCGAGUGGCUGGCUCCAAACCUCUCGCCUGACGCUUCUUCCAGUUGCGAAAGAUAAGGAGCAUCUAGCCGAUGGAGACCGGUACCGGAUAGUACGGAGCGUGGAGCUCGACGUGCUUGAAAUCGGCCGCUACCAGACAACCCGGUCACUCACGUCAGUUGCAGCUUAACUGAUGUUAGUGUGGAGCAUACACCACGGGAGUGUGGGAAUGUUGUCGCACAGGCCAAUUACAGUUUGGAGUGUAUGGAACAAGAAGAAACGUCCGUGUUUCCCAGGCAACUGAAGCUUUUGGGCCGUUGGGAUUAGGUUUAGGUGAGAUGAAGACAUCAUUUCAUUGUUGGCUUAUAUGUGUUGUUGAUCGCUCAGAGACUCGAUCCUGGAUUGAUUGGAACUGGGGAGGUUUGGACCCAUCUUUUUCUUUCUUUCUUUCCUUUGCUUCACUUGGUUUCAGGGCAGACGGGAAUGAUGACGCUCGAUUAACAACAGAUAACUUAAAGAUCUAUAUAUUGAGAUACUUUUGUUGCGUGAGAUUUGCGUCGUCAGUGAUGAUCUUCUGCUCUAGACACCGGUCACGAGCAGUGGAGGACAUGCUGCGGGUAGCAUCUCGGUGUAGAGGGCAUCCAAAAAUAGAGUGAUUAGCGUGACGGCAGCAUGAAAGCCGCUAGAAACCGAGGUAUGCGGGCCCGCAAGGUAAGGGCUGAGGUGUUUGAUUUGAGAAAUGAGAUAGUCCAUCACUUCAUCAAUGUCUCACUCACUUUUUUUUAGUUUGCGGAAAGAAAUGACUUGAUCCUGCACCACAUCAUUCCUCCCAGACUAAUAAUUAGUGCCAGACCGAAUUUGAGGAAUGGAGUUUGACUCAUGAUGCACCACGUCAUCUAGAAUGAGAUGGUUUCUCAAACCGAACAAUCCUGGGAUGAAACACACCUUGAACUAUGGGAAACCUCAAAUUUGCCGAGUAUUUUUUUUUGCCGAGUGUUUUUUUCUGACACUCGGCAAACAAGCUCUUUGCCGAGUGCCGGGCUAAAAACACUCAGCAAACGAGGAACUUUGCCGAGUGUCAAAAAAACACUCGGCAAAGAGACGGUUUUCCUCUUUUCACCUUGAAAUUUUUUCUACUCCCCACGUACAACAUGUGGUACUCCCUGUUAAAAUUUGGUAUAUUUUUGAAUUUGUUUGCUAUAUUUAUUUAAUUAAUUGCAUUUCAAGAAAAUUUUUGGUAUAAGUCAAAUUUGAACCGCAAGUGAUUCAAAUUAUAGAAUAAAAUGAGUAGAAAAAUGAUAUUCAUGUUAUUUGGCCCAAUUUGAGACCUAACCCGUGAAAUGAAAAGAAAUUUCGAACAUCUUGUUCAGGAAACACGACCACGAAUGUGUGGUAGUGGUAUUUUUAAAUUGUAAAAAAAAAAAGCAAAGUCUAAAAAUCAUGAGAUUUGUCAUGAUGUGAUGGUAUCAUACGUGGAGGUUGUGGAAAAAAAUUGAGAAGGUUUUGUAUAUUUCAUCACGUACGAUGUUUACAAACCGAAGAAUCUCAGAAGAAGAAUAGUAACGUUGAGAAGGAUUCGAUAAGAUUUGGAGUCAAAGUGACGGUCAAGUUUUGAUUUGACUACAAAACUUUUUGUAUAGUCAAUAGAGAAUAUAUAUUAUUUCAUGUGAAUUUUUGGUAAUUUUUUGGAACUGUUAGAUAAUUUUUGAAUUUUUUUUAAAAUAGCUUUGCCGAGUGUCCUAGGUUAGACACUCGGCAAAGCAACCCUUUAACGAGUGUCACACCUAGGACACUCGGUGAUUUUUUUUGCCUGUCUUGAAAACAGUCGUGUAUGUCCCANNNNNNNNNNNNNNNNNNNNNNNNNNNNNNNNNNNNNNNNNNNNNNNNNNNNNNNNNNNNNNNNNNNNNNNNNNNNNNNNNNNNNNNNNNNNNNNNNNNNUAAUACAUCUAGGUGGACUCGACCAUUAGUUCUUCUCGCCCCCUCGUCUUCCUCCGCCACCCCCACCCGCCCCCACCUUCCUCUUCCCUAUCACCGCCGCCCGGCGUCCGGUGCCGACCCCCGCCGCCGCCCCUUCCCUCCCUCCCUCUCCUUCCCCGGCUCCCUCCCCUCCAGCUGGAUCCGCGCCAUCCUUCCCUGGCUCCCUCCCCUCCGGCUGGAUCCGCGCCCCCUUCUUCCCCUACGGCACGGAUCCGGCGGUCCCCAGCUCUCUCCCCUCCGAAUCUGGGGCGGGCCAGGGGCGGCACGGGCCACAGAGCUAUCCAGGAGCUCCGGGAGGUUUCGGCAGCAGCUCCGGGUGGUGUCAGCGGCGGGCUUCCCCCCCACCUCCCCGGAUUCCAGUGGCGGCGUGGUAUUGGUGGUAGCGGCGGGGCCGUGGAUGGCGGCAGCGGCGGGGGCUGGUGGCGCGGCGGCGGCGCUGUUGGUGGAUGGCGGCAGGCUUCGUGGCGUGGCGGCGGGAGAAAAGGGUGGCAGCCUGGUGGCGGCGGGAGGCAAGGGUGGCGGCGGCCGGCGGUGGCGCUAGCUUGUUUUUUUAUUUUUUCCAAAAAAUCUUUGCCGAGUGUUUUUUUGCCACUCGGCAAAACUUUUACCGAGUCCCCAACAAAAAACACUCGGUAAAGUCUGUUUGCCGUCACUUAUUUUGCCGUGUGCCGUUUGCCGAGUCAGCAAACGGUUCGCCGAGUGUUUUUUGCCCUUUGCCGAGUGCCCCGGCACUCGGCAAUUUUCGUGUGUCCCGGAGCCGGUUGCCUUCAUAUCGUGACCGUCAUUAGUAAUGUGUCGCUGAAAAAUGUGUGUUUUCAGUUGCCUAUUGAUAGCGUUGCCCUCAUUAGUAAUCGACUUCAUCGGCCGGUACGACCUGGUUUGAAUAAAACUAUACUCCUACCUAUAAAAAACUGUGGAAGUGGAACAGAUGAAAAUCGACUUGGUCAGUCAGUGUCCAUUACAGAUAUUUUGCAGCUUGUCUCAGUCAGCACUCAGUAGUGUUCACGGGUUCUUUUCAAAUCGCAAUUCACUGUGUGGAAAAGGCGGUGACGACCUGGCAGAGUUUGCAAGAUCGCUAGCAUAAUAAUUGCAUUAUCGUUGACAAAAUACGCUACGUAUAUAUACAGCCAGCAGAACAGCACACUAGCACAACUAUAUUUAAUUAAAACCCAAAAAAGUAUGUGCAAACCUAUCCUUGAAGUUGAAACUACCCUGUAUACAGCCGCCGUGGCACGGCGCACCCGCACCCCCCUGCCGGAGCUACACCGGCGGCAGCGGCGGCGGCUCGGUCGACGGCUGCUGCACGGGCCCCUCGGGCGGUUCUUUGCCUCCCUUCUUCUGCGGCACGACAUGGCACCUGCACACGGGGCACGUCGCGUGCGAGUCGAGCCACAUGUCGAUGCAGCCGACGUGGAACGCGUGCGCGCACGCCGGCAGCCACCGCGCCGCCUCCCCGGCCUUCAUCGCCUCGAGGCACACCGCGCAGUCGCUGACGGGCGCGCCCGCGGCCGCCGGCUCGUACGGGAACGCCGGGGCGACCGCCGCGAUGGCGGCCGCCGAGAGCCCGCCCCGGCUGAGCCGCGCCUCCUCGUCGUCGCUGGCGGCCCGGGCGGCGAAAGUGCGGGACGCGCAGGAGAGCACGAAGAGGAGCGCGCAGUACAUGGCAAGCGCGACCCACAGGUACCGGACGAACGCGGCCAGGAUGACGAGGAGGAGCAGCACCGGGUACGACGCGAGCACCAGCGCGCUCCGCUGCGCCGCCAUGGCGUCGCCGAAGACCUGCUGCGCGCGCCACGGGUACUCCUCCGCCGCCGCUGACAUCGCUGGGAUUCUGGCUGUACCUGUUGGGUUAGCAGGUGGCUGCUGUCGUGCGGUGUGUGUGCGAGCAUUGGCGCCAUCCGCGAGAGGUUUUAAUCUGCCCGGCGGCCAAGGGCCAACCGGAUAAUGCCGUCCAAUUCCUGGACGGCAGCAGGCAGCUGCAACUAGACAGGCGGCAUUCGAGACUUCUGCGAGAGUUGCUUUCCCGGGCAGGCGAGUCAUUGGAUUUUUGUGUGAUCUCGAGCAAUAUAAAAUCGAGCAGCGCCAACUCGGGUCAAUGCUUGUCUCGGCAAGAAAAGGGCUUCGUGGAGGAGGCGCGACCUGCUAAGAUAUUGCGUUGAUAGUAGUAAGUAUGACGUGACUCACUGCGUGCAAGGUGCAACUCAUGACAGUUCAUGGACCGAGAUACAGAAGGAUUAUGAUAUUGGUCGCGGUAUGAUCCAUCCAUAUCCUGACGAGACCGGACAAGAUGUGCAGCCUGAUUUUCUACGACGGAACCAUAUCUGACAUGAUUUUGUUGGGGGGUGAGAAUUGGUAUUAAGUUUCUGAAAACAUGCUGCUUGUCCAAAGUCCAGACACGACGUCGCUUCUGUAUCAUUUGUUAAUUCAAGUGGCUCGAGACAGAGACCAAGCCUAGUGAGGAGAUGGAAAAGGGGAAAGAAAAUGUGCGAGAAUUCAGAGAACGCCGCAGUCACAAUGUGCGUGGACAUUGAUCCGGUCCAAUACGAUUGAAAGCAUGUGUAUUUAAAUCUCUAGACAAGAGCGCUGCAGCAGUCUCAGACCCCGUUUGGUAGGAUUUAUCUUGGCUUCGGCUUCAUCUGUUUUAUGUAAAAUGAGGCAUUGUAGCGUGAAGCUAUUUUGUAAGUCGAAGUUAAAAUAAACUAGAAGCUAGGUGAAACCACUAUUUUUAUCUUCGUCGGCUUUAGCUUCAUCAAUAAAGCUGUGUUGGGAGAAGCCCUCCCAAAUGAGACCUCAAAAUCGAUCAGAAACGAACGAUUACGAUCCAAGAGAGGAUGGAAGGUUAGUCGCCUACUGAUGGGAGGUUAAGUAGUACCCGCAAGGGAUGCCGGGUGAGGUGAACGUUCUGGCGACCGGUGAGAGCUGGGCGUACAAUAAACCGGAGGAAUGGUCACGGCUCAUGCUUGUUUUCACUGAUAAUGGUAGUUCCCCUCACCCUAAACUUUUUUUUUUUGCUUCUAUGGUGUGCGUCAGCAGGAGAUUGACAUCGAAGAUGAUUCUUUUUGGCAUAUAGUUUAUAUUCUCAUUUUUUCUUUUAUGUAUGUAUGAGAGCGAUGACACCUUCACCUUCCACCGUAAACUCAAUUAACCAUGGGUGUGUUUACAGUGUAAUUUUGCUGCUUGAUUUAUUUAAAUGGCCAAAUUAUUCAGUUGCUGGCGGUUAACUUGAUCAACUGAUUGUUGUUUAAUAAUUGGCAGGAUCCACAGUCUUGUUUUAGAAUUGGAGAUCGUCGAGUGCAGCAAAAUAAUUCACGAAGGCCAAACAAGUAUAUUUGUGCAGAGCUUUGCAUGGUUGAAUGCCCUGAUCAUGGAAGGAGAGAUUACGCAUGCAUAAAGGGUUGUAAAUGAAGCAACUCGUAUGAAGAUUUCCAUUAUGGUGUGAUUAGGAUGUGGCCGAAAUUUUUUAUUGUUGCAUUGUAAACCAACGUGUACAAGAUUAUGGUCUAAUGCGGUCACGUUGUAGAUUUAACAGGAUAGAACAUUGUAUAUAUGGUAACCGAAUUAAACUGGUCAAGUCUUAUUCGGUAUAAGCCAGAGUCUUGUCCAUAUACGUGAAGUGCCUUAUAAAUACUAGAGUCUUGGGGCGCACCUCCGGCGCGCCAAUUUUCUGACCAAAUUUUCAUUAAAAGGAUUGAUGUUCAUGUAUUAGCGUCAAGAGCGUGAUAUGUCUUGGGAAAAAUAAAAUUAGUGGUACUAAUCAGGCAGCUGCAUGCGCUAAUGUUUAGGUCUUUAUGUUUUGAUGUGAUGGGAGAAAUUAUGAUUUUAAUAAUAACGAUUAAUGUCUGCAUUCGAUAGUACAAGCAUUAACUUUGAAGGAGUUGCGUAAUUAAUUCUAUAUAUUCAUCAGUGCGGAGGUAAGAGAUUGGAAUUGGAGUCGAGCAGGAUAAUUGUAUACUAAUCACAAUCACGUUGCCUUUGCUCAUAUGGAAAAGUAAACCAGCUACUGAAAUAAGUGAUAUAGUAACAUAGUACAUAAUUACAUAGUAGUGGUAGAGGGCGAGUAUUAAAAUAAAUAAACACAUCUAACAGCAAUGCUUGUUGACUAAGUGGACAAACUGGUCAGUAAACAUCUCAAGAGUAGAUUGUGGAGGAGUAUUUCCUGUGUAUGUAAGUGUGACGGCGUUCGAAGCAGUAGCAUUGCCUGUAUUUGGAGAAAUUGCAAGAGCAAGUACGUUGCUAUAGUUGGCGGAUAGCUCUGUGAUCUUAGCGAUGAAGUUGUGAUGUUGAUUUUCUAUCUUUUUCAAGCGUUUCAUUUGAGCGACACAUGCGUCCUCAAAAAUCCAUGCUCAAGACAUAGUUGAUUCCUUCACUUUCUGUGUCUUCAAUAGGUUGGCGUUGUUGUGAUAGACCAAAGUCAAUUUCCCUUCGCUUGUGAUACUGUGAAUGGCAUCAUCGUAGGUUGAUUCUAUUGCUCCGCCUACGGUAUUUACGAAAUCGCUGUAGUAAGUUGCUUUCUUAUUAUGCGGAGGAGGUGUUCGCUGCGUUGGCAUAAUAGUAAUGGAGGAAGUGAAGAUAGAAUUACUCAUUUUUCUCACAUCUGUUCUAGAUACAUAAAGAUCUAGGUCUUGCGCAAUUUGAUCGAAAAAUAGCUUCUUUGGUAUCUAAACAGACAACAUAGUUUUGCGACAUUUAAAGUAGUUCCUUAGCUUUCAUGUUGGAGUGGUAGGGAUUUGAUGCGUUGUACAAAGGAAGAAAUGAUUUGAACAAACAUUCAUAACUACGCUUUUGGUUGUGAAAACGCCUUCGUGUUUACUUCAUUCUUAAAGUGGUUACCAUAUGGAAAGGUCGUAGCUUGAAGAGAUGAAAGUGCGUUGCAUCUUGGAUAGCUAUUUAUAUAAGAUAGUCCUAGUUAAAAACACCUGUAGGCAAAGGUGGACAUGUAUGAAAUGUCGUGGCAGCUAAUCUUCUUGUCAUGUAUUCGUCGUGUCAUGCAAGUGCUGCGCAUGGAAGUUGUGUUUAUCUGUGUGUCUAUGUCUUGUAUAUGUGUGAUAUCCUUCAAUCGACAACGUGGUUUCCACGUAUUGGGCUAGGACUGGCCCAUUAGUUUCGAAAAGCCCAACAGUUGGUGUAGCAAAGAAACACGAGGUCACCAGUAGCUUCCACCGUGGGCUCCUGACUUCCUGCGUCUGCUUUCAUGUGUUUGGCUAUUCACUCCGUGCAGAAUCGAACACUGAUGGCGCUCAACAUCCUCAAAACCUAGGUCUAGAAGGGGAGCAUCGAUUCGAACAGCGCCUAAGGGGCAGGUGAGCAGCGGCGGUCAAUAAGAGAGAGGAAGUUGGUUGGUAUAUAAUGUAUAGUUAAGAGCUAUCGAAUGAUGCUUGCUGGAUUUGAUUCGACUAACUAAUCCAAAUUUCGUUUCAAAUAGAUCGGAGUAAGGAAGAUAGGGAGGAAAGGUACGUUGGUCUCUUUCGAUUCUCGCAGUAAAGUGAAUCAUUCAAUGGCACUGUGGUAGGAUUAUCGCUGGAACCCAAGUGAUUCACAGGUUAGUUCAUUAGUAUUUAGUCUCUGCAUACAAAGAUGGGAAGAGAUCUAUAUAUUUUUGCUUACUCUAUACAAACAGACAUGAAUAUUCACUGUAAAGAAAUGAAAAAACAGUUGACUAAGUAGGAAACACCAUUAUUUGAACUGAAGGGGUCAUAGGUAUAUGAAGUUCUCCCAUAGAUUAGGUGUAUAAAUAAUUGAGGAUUGUAAAUCAUGACCACACUUUUUGUGAGACUUAACGUGAUUAUAGUAGGUUGAUGUUGUCAAUAAAUUGUUGAUGUCGAAUAACAAUGCAUUCACUAUUAUGUUACUAAGUUAAAUUGAAGACAUGAUCUGAGUUGUGUCAGUAGCAUUGCAGUGUGCAGCAUAGCCGUGGUAAAGUAUAGAUCAUACAAUUAUGUACACAAUGUUAGUGUUUGUACCUGAUACUUUAUACAACUAUAUUUGUUCAUUACAACUCUAGUUUGUUCAUGCUCAAAUUGAUUAGAUUACGACUAUAAUUCAUCUUUUUUAUAUUGACCCGUGUAGAAUGGCAACAGAAGAAUUGUGCCCUAUGAAUGAUAUUGGAAAGAUAUUCCAGUAGUACGAUGAUAGGUAUGGAAAGAUUAGUACCAAUAUUACUUGAAAGGUACAAUACUAUUGGUUAAUUAUCAUUAAUUGAUAAUACACUAAUAUCUAAUUUUCCGGAACUUGGGUUUUUAUAUUUCAGGAAACAAUUAAGAUUAAUGGAGAGUUAGUAGUGCGAGAGUUAGGCCGCCUGCUAAACAGCACACAACUAUGUUUUAACCAUACUUGCAUAGAGAGCAAUAAUUGGCAAAUAAGUCUUUCUUUUCAGUUUCCAAGAAAUGGCAACAUGUUCGAGAAUAUGAUAGAUGUGUAUAUCUGCGGUGAUUUACAUGAUAAUAUUGAGGAUGCGAAAGCAUCUUUGUAUAACAAAGUAGUGGAGCAUUUGGUGCAAAUUCACAGAAUUGGUAUUGCCGAUUAUAGCAGUAGAGAAAGAGACACCAUCUAUGCAGAAUGGGAAUCAAUGCACGAGAAGAUGUGUCAACGAUUCUAUAUUAACUCUGAUAUUCUAUUUGGUUGGGAAGCUGGAUUGAUUGAAGCAGAAAGACUGUAUCAGGUAUAUGGUUAUAGUUUGAUCGAUUCUGAUCUCAGUGGUAUUGAAAAUACACCAACGAAAGUACGAACUCGAUUUAUAAAUGUACUCAGAGAUAGAGUAUUGAUAUUUAAAGAUGAUGUAGUUGAAAGCAAAGCCAGGCUAAAGAGUUUGAACAAGCAGAGAGACAUCUAUGUAAGCACGGUUAAUGUCAAUAUGCGUGAAGCUAUAAAGGUAUGAGUUGUGACCACAAUCAUUUCUUACAUGUUCUUCUUAAAAUGAUUGUAGCAUGAUCAAUCUAAAGAUAGAUUUUAUCAUUGUACUUAUUGUUGCUAAUAUAUGUACAAGUGGAGGAGGAUUGUUUCUGUUUCAAAUAAAUUCAUCUUCGAUAAUAUAAUUGAUAGAUCUCAAAAUGAAAAGGUAGAUGUGGAGAUAAUACAAAUGGGAAAUCAUGCGUUUGCUAGUGAGAUGGUACUGCAUGUAGUAGAACAUGACAACAGCAAAGAAGAUGUUCUAUGCAAGAGAAUGUUGGAAACUUAAAUGAACCGGAUUUCUGUAAGGAGAAAUCUGACUCCCAGUAUCCUCGUGAUAAUCCCUGGAUCAGUAACUAUCAUAUACAGAACUCAUUUCAGCAUAAAUAUCACAUCCAUACCAAUAACAAUACAAUACAUCCUAGAAUGUGAGAGUACGAUCUGGUACAUGCCCCUUGGGCUUAACGACAUGAAUAAAACCAACGCGACAGUAGCUAGCUUCUGGAAGCAUUCCUAUCUUCACAAUUAACUCCACAGACAUUCUUGAUCGUAGCACUGCAACCCUCAGUCGUACCAACUGUCGUGGUUGAUGUCGAAGUUGGACUCGUAACCUGCAAACUCACGAGCUGUCCCCAAGGAUUGGGACAGGUUCACGUCACCAUCCGUAUGCAAGCUUUAAGUGGCCUAGUGCUUGUGGUCAAAAAUAUAGUCAAGGAAUAGGCUCAGGUUUCCAAUGCAGCAAGCAUAAAGAAUAAAACUCCAUAUCCAUCAUCCCAAUCUCUCAACACAUCGGGUACACCCAUCUUGACAGGUUCCCUAUCACCAUCAUCCUAUCUCCAUACUAGGGUCAAGGCAAAGACUCCCUCUUUUUGCCUCUCAACAACUGUAGCCAGAUCCUAAAGGGAAAGGGAGCAACUUCCCCUCUUCCCGACUGCAAUUGCGGCUCACAACACACAAGUAGUUAUAAGGGGGAGGUAGAGAUUUCCCAAAAACAAUGGAGAGUCAUCGCGACACAGGGUUGUCCAUGACUGAGGACACAGCUAUACUUAUAGUUUUAACUCUGCAAAGUGUGUACACCUGGACCCAUCUUGGAGUGAGACAACCGGGGAUCAGCCGACUAAACAUCACCCUACCGGGCGAAGAACCUGGGAGUUACAAUACCAUCCUACAUCCAGGCUCGGAUGCGAUCCCCCACAGAGGACCACCCCAGAACUGUGAAGCACUCCCACCGGGGCCAAUUGGGGGCAAAAGGUCAGCACCACUCCCCCCUACACUGAUACUCUAUCAUACAGCAGGUAUGGUACCGCACUUGCCAGUCUCAACCCGGGCCUAGACCCAUAAUUCGGCAAGUGGCGUGCACGUUUAACAUAUUCCUGUGAAGCAUGGCGACCCACUUAGUUUCAGACCGGGGCGAGCUCCUAACUCCCAAAAGUGUCUCCACAACGUAGUCCGCAACGGCACCCAUAACAGGUAUCACCACCAACUCCUAUGCUCCUCAACUGUAUACUCACAACAAGUACCAAACAGGGAACAUCCGAGAACGGACCCCAAGCCCCCAAUCCAUAGAUUGGGUUGUGUAAAGCUCACCCCCGUCAAGUAUCCCAAAAUCACCUUCUCCUGCCGGUUUUAACCCCACACACGCCAAGAAUCCUAAUCACAAUAUCCCAUACACAUGCAAGCAUCGCACACCAUGCAUAUAAGUAGCAUAGUAGUAGGUCAAACAAGGAUAUAAGGCAUAAAGAAGGCUAUGCAAGGUUUAUCAUCAUCAUGCGAGGAAUAAAGCACUAGCAUACUAAUUUAGCAAUGCCUAAUGGGUAUUAUAAUAGAAUGGGCAUGAACCUGAGUAGUCUUCCUCCUCGUAGUAGUCCUCAAAUGGCUCUAGCUCUGGGUUCAGCUCCAAGUCUCCGGCAACUCCUAAUUACACAAUUACCAUAAUUACCGGAUGUCUAGUUGCAAAGUAAAUCCAAAAGAGAUCCAAAGAAGAACCAAACAAGAUCAAAGCGUAGUCUAACACGUGUUUUAAUAUUUUAGAGAAAUUAUGAAACUGGUUUCAUAAUUUUUGGAAUUAGAAUGACUUAGUUAUGACUCUUUGAAGUUGAAAACAUUUUCUGAAGUUUUUGUAUGAUAGGCAAAAACAAGAAAUCAACGGGGUUAGCUGUUAACUGGCUGUAGGUCAGCUGCAGUCCAGAUGCAAGCUGCCACAAAAGUUCGCAGGUAGCUUUGGAGGGUUUUUAGGCCGGUGGCUAAGCUGUCGUGAGGUGUUUCUAGUUUCUGGGGUAAAAACCAGAAGUUUCAACUUUGGAAAACCGGAAGUUCUGAUUUGGGGUAACUGGAUGUUCCGAUUUUUAGCUCACUCAGGGAGGUCUCCCGGGAAGAACUCUAGAUGCUCUGGAUAGAUCAAAACUGAAUGUUCUCGUUUGGGAACUGGAAGUUCCGGUUUUCUACGAGUAGAUCUCUCCCCUUGGGGAGAUCUCCUGGGAAAGACCUUGGGACAGUCCUGGGAAGUUAGGGUUCACCAUUCAUGGGUUUGGGGUUCUUUUGGCUGAGACUUUCUAAGGUUUUUGGAGCUACUGCAGGCUGAACAGAGCAAAACUGGAAGUUCCGAUUUUGCCAAGGGUUCGGCCGUGAUGGGCUUUGCGCGUGUGGGAGCGUGCGGCUCAGGCCUCAGCUGUGAUGAAGGUUCAUGCAGGCAAGUGGAAAUCGUGGUGCUCACCUGGUGGGCUUGCUAGUGAGGGAAAGAUGGCACGUGGUGAGGUGAAGCGGUGAUGGCGGCGCGGGCUUGGCGGCUCUCCGGUGGGGCAGCAGCGGUCUCCUCCUCCUCCGACGUCUUCUCCCCGUCUCCUGCGCCCCCCUCCUUCCUCCUCCUUUUCUCCAAACGGCGACGGGUGAAGGAGAAAACCUCAAUUGUGGAUGAGGCCAGGUGUAGAUGGUGUGGGGAUUCAAAAAGGUGGUGGCUAGGGUUUUGGGCGGUUUGGACGGUAGGGGAUUGUGUCUGGAUGGCGUGGCAAGCAUCCAUGGGUGCCAGCGCAAAAGUGGCAAGGACGGCCGGCAUCGUGCGUUGCGUGCACGUCGCUGUCGUGCUCGUGCCACGCGCGUGCACACCGUGGGGAGGAAAGGGGAAUAGUGGUACGGGUGGCUAACAUGUGGGGUCGGACGGUCAGCGACUGCAACGCGGAGGCGGUCUGGGCAGAAAACUAGAGGUUCCAGUUUUGGAAAAUUAGAAGUUCCGGUUUUUGCACCGGCCUUAGGUUGGGUUGUUAAUUAGGUGGGCUGGUGGGGUUAGCUGGGUUGGUUUGGGCCUCGGUUAGAUUUAGUUAGCUUUCCUAGUUUGAUUUAUAUUUGAAUUCCAAUUCAAAUACAAAUCCCACCCAAAAAAUCCAAAUAAAUUCCAAAUGAACUCCAAAUAUUCACACUAGCACAUAAUGCACCUUAGCGAUUCAAUUUAGUUUACAAUAUAAUUCUAAGAAUUUUGGGAAAGGUUCAAUGAUGACAAUCCUAUAGUUCGGAAAAAUUCACACCACAUCACAAAUUUUUUGAAAUCCACAUUUUUGCAAAUUCAAACAUGUCGUAAAAAUACGAGAUGUUACAGAAACUGAAAAGAAAUACGACUUUGCAAGUGCAGAAGAAGAUGUGUAUAAAGAAGGCAUUGCAUCCAUUGAAAAUGCGAGGAAUGGUGUUUAUUUUUGACAUAAUUAUCGAUCAAUGGCUAUUGCUAUGGAGGACAAAAUAAAUGGAAACAAAUUGAAAAACAAAAUGGUGGAAUUUGGGUCCAAGAUGAGUUCGAAGUGGAACUCCAUGGUUGCAGCAAUACAAUACAUCCAUACAGUUUGGAGUGAAGCUCAUAAUGAAGUGGCCCAAUCUCAAAACAUCAUAGAUAAACAUGAAAUGACAUCAGAAAUAGUAAACAAUGUUGCUGAUCUACUCACAAGGAGCUCAUAUGGAUUAGAACCUAAUAUGCGUAGAUUUGAAGCAGCAUCUAUUUGAGUAGCUUGUAAGAGUGAAUCUGUAUGUAUAAAACAUUGUAGGCGUACUUGGUGUAAGUUAAGUUUUGCAAUUGUACGCUCAUCCAAGCAUCAUUCAUUUUGUUGUGGUAAAGAAUUAGUUGUACUGAAUUAUAUUUGCAAGAUAUAUAUAUUUACUUAUAAGUUAUAGUGCAUUAUAUACUAACAAUAAUCAACUAUUCGCCUCAUGACGUGAUGUCUGGAAUGACACCAAUCUACGAAUUUAUGCAUGUAUCACCUCUUUGCGAUGAAACCUUCACAAAUUUGAUGUACGUCGGUAUGUGAAGUAACCGAAAGAAAAUAGAGGAUAGCUGAAGUCGUAAAACAAGGCCACCUGGUGAUACAUGGCUUUAUUUGAUCAGCUGGUAAGCUGCGUCAUGUCAAGGUGCUCUUAAGAGUGAAUGCAGAUAUAAAUAGGACCCCCUUCUUUACUUUCAGAAUAAGGUAGCCCUGGUUCUCCAGUUUGGCUAACUCUACUGUUUACUAGGUUUGGCAUCACGAACAAGACUGACUGCUCGGAGCCUCGGAACAACAUAUCUAAAAGUUACUCGAUGGCGCUUGUAUCUUCCAUGAUUAGUUCCAAGAUGUAUGUAAGUAUCUAAUGAGUACGAGUACUACAAUUUGCAGUAAAUAUGUUUUAGUACUUUCUCUACGCAGUUUCAGCAUGGUGCAAGUGUUUCGUUGUGCAUACAGUAUUUACGAAUGAGGUGACGAAGUUUUUUCUUUAUAUUGAUCAUUGCAGAUCAACGCAAGUAAAGUGGUAGUCAUUCGUCCUCGUGUCAUUUUAUGCAAAGCAGUCAACGGAUUGAACGGAUUUGACCCUGUAUUUACAAACACGUCUACAUGCGCAGAUAAAUUCAAGUACUCCAUUUCAUUUGAUCUUCCAACCUCUGCAUAAACAAAUUAACUGGUGGCAAUCUAUUCUUUAAUAGACAUGAUGCUGAAGAUAGCGCUGUUCAAAAUGUUUUUAUGAAAUUGUAUGAAGAAUAUGGAUAUAUAGUAGAGGACUAUAGUUCUAUCCAAGGCAACAUAUGUAGGCUGAGAUACCAUGAUUUCAUUCAUAAGGUAAAUGAAAGCAAGGCUAGAUAUCAGGAAAUCAAGGAUAACUAUUUGAAUGUAAUGGGACAACUUAGAAUAGUGUCCGAUAUGUUCGGCACUGUAGCAUGCAGUUUGGAUCAAUCCAAAGUAAAUAAAAAAUAUAGAGAUGCACUCAUAUCUUGUUCUAAAGAGUUUCAAAGAAUCCGUCAUGCUGGUCCGAAGCAUAUGGAUGGAUUCAACAUGCGUGUGUUCCUGAAUUGCGAUGCAGAAAAUUCAUCAUUUUCAACUCGUGAUGCAGAAAAUUCAUCAUCCAACGCAAUUAGUGGUGUCAAACAAGUAUCCAUUAUACUGGGUAUUCCUUUUAUAAUUACGAAUGGUGUGGUAAUAUAAUAGGAAGUUGUUUUACAAUGUACCAUUUGAUUAUUAGUGUAAUGCAAGUAUUCUUCGAUAAAGGUUCACAGAACUGAGGUUAAACAUGCUCUUGGGUGAAGUUGUGAAAGUAAUGGGAUUUGAUAAGCCUAACAUCACAGUAGAUGGGAGCCAGCAAUCAUAUAACUACGUGGCAACCGUGAUCAUAAAAAAAAGGUGCAAAUGAAGCAGUAAUGAAAGGAAUUGGGGUAAAUAUUUUGUGCAGAGAUUCCCAAUACAAUGCUACCUACAAUGCAUUACUUGUAUUAGAAACGGAAUUCCAUGUGGUCAUAAAGGACGUGAACUAUAGCUAUUAUUCGAUGAUGUUUGGUCGUGUGAAGGAUACGGAAAAUAUCUUGACCUUAAUUGCUAUUAUCUGCAACGAUGUUGAUGGGGAUCUUUGUCAGAUAGGUUCUCUAGUUAGCAUGAAUGAAUGUAGUAAUAGCAUGCUUGUUAAUCAUAGUGAAUUUGGUAGUAUCUAUACUCAGUGGUUUUAGACGGUGAAAACAGCAUUGGAGAGAAAUCAGGAAAUCAUGAGAGCAAAGGUUGCUCUAGUCAUGGAAAAUGCUCGUAUUGGAACUAUUCGGUUUUGACAAGUGACGGUAUCUGAUGAAAGCAGCAUUCUUUACAAUCAUACAUGGUUUAAAAUUAUAUACAUAGUUUGGAUACUGUAAUAAAUCCGAGUAUACUUAAGCCCAAUCGUGUAAUAAAAAUGUGGGCAUCGUGUGUUGUUCGAUUUUGUUUUACAUUGUUUCAUGUUGAUUAAUUCUGUGUGGUAUAUGAAUUAAUUAGUUGUUAUGAUUCGUCAAUUGUUAAUAUGUGUUGUACCACUAUGUAGGCCAUAGGAGCGAAUGAAUGUUAUUUAUCCAUUUACUUUACAAAGAUGCUACAUAUAUUACAAAACCAUAAAUUAAGAUGCGAAUGCAAUAGUAAAAUUCAGGGUCGCAAUCUCAUUAGCUGUAGCAUAGAAGAUCUAAUUUUCUCUGAGCUUAGGUAGCUGACGGGCCACAUAAUUAUUGUGCUUGUUUUAGACACUAUCUAGUUGAAUACUAAAGUGAUUUAAAUUUGGAUCCAGCAAAAUCGCAAUUCUGUACCCAAUAAGAUACAAUGCCACGUUCCUCAACGGUGCAAAACUACCUGUGAAUAGAAUCGUCUUUUCCUUCGGCCUAAUUGAGGUGGUACUUAGUUUUACGGGCCAAGAAGCUAUCCAAUCCAAGAGACAUAUACUCGUAACAAAUUUUAAAAUUAUAUAAUUGUUUACACUUAAGUAAACACGCAUGGAAUCUAAGUAUCCCUUCUUGUACAUAUUUUUAUUAAACAUUAUUAAUCUCUUAUUUUCUAUGUACUGCAUUCCUUUUUUAUGAAAAUACUGAAAUAUCCUACUUAAGUGGGGAUUGUACAAGAUGGCUUCACAAUCAUACUAGUAAAUGAAUAAUUUUUUUAUAUAUCACGACAUUACUCUUAACGCCAGGUCUAAUUUACCGCAGUAAAACUUGGCUGAUUCACCUGUUAUUUACCGCAUGUCGUAAUACGAGUGAAACACCAUCCUAAGGUGACACGCAAUGCGUGGUGACAUACGUGUCAUUUUUUAGAAUCGAAUUAGACGUGCAUGGCUAGACGCAUGUCGUCCUAUACUGUGAACAAAUAAAUAUAUAGCGUUCCCGAUCCAGCACCGCUAAAAGAAAUUGCGUGCAAGGGAAAAGAUAAACUUGGUAGAAAAUGGAGAGUUCAAGGAAAGCAGAGUUGAAGUUGCUUUUGCUUAGUGUCCAGCAUGAUGCCUCCACCGCACCAGGUAUCAACGCUCCUCGUGUCUCAUUGUCAAUUACGAAUCACGUGUUGUGCAUAUUUUUACUCAAAAAUGUACUAUGCGUGCCAAAAAUAUUUUCCAAUUCUUUAGUUAGUAGUAGGAAAAAAAUCAGAAUCCAUUAUUGCUUUAGAUUCAUGUGCAGGUAGUUCCGUCUUUUUUGGUUGACUAUUUAAUUCGAUUGUCAAUGUUGAUUGAGUUAUCUAUGAUUGAAUUGAUGAGCGGUUGAUUAUUUAAUUCCAUUAUCAACACUGAUUGAGUGAUCUAUGCUUGAAUAGGUGACUGCAAACGGUGGAACACGUAUCUACUGCUUUUUUUAUACGUGAAUCUAUAUAAAUGAGGUUUAAAUAGAUGUUCCAUGUCAUGUAGGCUACUCGAGUUGUAAAGAUUAGUCAUUAACUUUUACUUCGUGGGCUUUGCAAGGAGCUGAAACUGGAUGCUCCAAGUUUUGGAACCGAGUCCUCUAGUGGUACCAGUGUUGUUGGUAGGGUUUAGAUUACGUAUCGCAGGUCUGAUGAAGAAACCGCAUUAUGGCGCUACAAAGUUACUGGCUCGGUAGAACCGGAUGCAUCUGCUGCUCUGGAAGUUGUUGCUACAAAAGCAAUUGAAUUUUUAAAGAGUAGAAUUAGCAACGACGUAGAAGAUUUUAACUAUCCAAGAUUCUAGUCUCUGCUUUUUACCCAUGUGUGCCUAAAGAAAAAUGGUGCCUACAGGUACAUCCUAUCACCCCCGCUUUUUUUCGGAAACCAUGCGCACGAUCCCAUUCUAACCGCAGGGAACGCCGCGCCUCCUCACCCCACGCGCCCGGCAUUAUCUGUCGCUUUGCCUCCCGGAGGUCAUGCGCACAAACGUCUCCCACAAGUGGCCCAAGGCCCACUUCAGGUAAAAAGGGAUACAGAGCUGAAAACGCUCUUACGGCCCAUUACGGUCCAGGGGUUCGAAGGCUGGCCCUCCCAAGGGUUCGACAGCUGCCCCAGGACACUUCCCGAGCAAGGGGUGAGACGGGACAGGUCCGCUAGUGGCCUCUACCCUGGCGAACGAAAGCCAAGGGCAUCCUGACCUCACGUUCGAGUCCCGACUGGCGAUUAAGUUCAUGGUUUUUCCCCGAAGAAAGGCAACGAGCCCCCGGAUCCGGUCGAACGGAUCUGGGAACUAUAUGAACUGGCCGUCCAGAACCAGGAAUACGCCACCAGCUUGGCCCAAGCCGGACCCUCCCCCCCUAACGGGGACCGGAACUCCACUCGAACUGAUCCGUUAGCAGCUCACCGAACACCAUGGUUCGUCCGACGAGGAUAACAUGGCACGGCUCAACCCCUUCGUCCAACCGAACGGAUGCUUGAGGGGCAACGAUUAAAAGAUGAUCCGACCUCUCGAUCGGUCUCCUGCAGCGCGUGGGGUCUCAGGGGCUGGAAUCGCAAAGAAAUGGCCACGCGUGUGGUCAUGUUCAGUCAUCAGGCAGGAGUGAUAAGCGGGACGAUGGGAAUCUUCCCAAAACUACACCAUCCUCAGAGCACCCUGCCUGCCCGAAACUCCCCGAUCAGGCCAACGGUGAAACGUUUUCCCUGACCAAACCCAGCUACGGGUUAGACAAAGACUCCAGACAAACACUCUGCCCAGAGCCAAUCAUAGCCUCUGGAGGAGCACCUCGCUCCACCAGAGGCUCGGGGGCUACUAUCGGGGAGAAAUAUUAAUGACCUCCUUAUGCUCCCUAAUCAACGAUCGUAAGGGCCAGGGCCCACCCCCGGCAUCCGUAAUCUCCAUCGACCAAACACACCCCGAAGGUACCUCGCUCCGCCUCGCCCGACCCCGAACGCAAGGGGUCGGAUGCGCCCGACCCCUUGAAGCAAGACUCCGCCUCGCCCAACCCAAGGCGCAAGGGGUUGGAUGCGCCCGACCCCUCGAAGCAAGAUUCCGCCUCGCCCGACCCCGGGCGCAAGGGGUCGGACGCACCCGAUCCCUCGAAGCAAGACUCCGCCUCGCCCGACCCCAGGCGCAAGGGGUCGGAUGCGCCCGAUCCCUCGAAGCAAGAAUCCACCUCGCCCGAAGGCAUGUGCAGGCCAUCAAACGGAGGCACAGGUCUUGUGGGUCCCCCGGAUCUCACCAAAACAUAAUCGAUGGGACGCACACGCUCCAGGAUACAAUUCUGACACAUGGAGAGGCACCUGCAUUCUUCGACAUGACCUGUCGGAAUGAUGGGUUGCAAACUACUGCCACGAUAGCAUAGGACUACGACUGCACCGCCUUAUCCCUCUGCGACGCCUGUCAUAGGGCACUCAUCGCCCAUACCGUCUAAACAAAGGAGGGCAAACCGCCUAGUUUCCUGCGCAGCCUCGCAAGAAGUGCACAUCAACCGCACCGCCCUAUCAGAACACAUGACUAUAGUGGCCGGCCGCUUCCUGCCACUUACACAGCUAUAGUGGCCGGUCGUCACCACCAACUUGCGCGGCUACAGUGGUCAGCCACCAUAUGCGACUCGCGUGCUCGGCUACAGUAGCCAACUGCCGAAUCAUCGAUGGGACCCAACAGCAACCGCCCUUUCCUAGUAGCAGUACCGACAAGACGCAGAGACAAGAAAGGAAGAUGGCUUCUCCAGUAGCUCCUCCCGCUUUCUUGUUUUACCUUUUUACCUUUUUACCUUUCUUACUCCCGGCUCAUUUUGUAACCCCUCUGUCCUCCUUACACUAUAAAAGGGGACCAGGGGCCCGAGGGAAAAGGAGAGGCCCGAACAACAGAACAACACCGAACGCACACAACAGCUCUCGUAGAAUCCUAGCGCUCAAGACACUUUGAGCAUUGGCAACACCCACAGAGACCUAGGAACCAGCUUCCCUCUCUCACCCGUUUGUAGACCCUACUGCAAACUUGGUACGAGUAACACGAGCAGCCACCCACACUGGACGUAGGGCUAUUCCUGCUUGAACCAGUCUAAUCCACGUGUCCUCCCAUACAACCAUCCGAGCCUAACGCGUAGAGAAAACAAAUUUACUAAGCUGGUAGUCUCGAUCCGUGAUUCUUGACACCAACAGCAGUAGCUAGAACCUGUAAAAGUAGUGCUUGACUUCAUGUAGUGGAGUCAGAACGCUGUUAAAUUACGUAGUGUGUGUGAAUCAAAUGUGGAUCGCUUAGUAAAAAGUACUUGCAAUAUAUAAAGCAUGCAAAUCACUAUCUAAGUUUGAUCAUUUGCAAAAUAGUGUAAAAUAGAGUAGUAGAGCAAUGCUGGAGCACUGUAAGAAGCAGUUUGUAAUUUUAAUACCUUUUCUAUUAUAUAUAUGUAUAUAAGUAACAUUAUCUAGCAUUUUUUUAAAUAGCGAUGAAUCAUCAUUCAAUUGUUUGCUACAUUGCUCUGUUUUCCAAUGAUGAAGCCUAAGACCUAAUUGCAAAAUUAAGCAUGAAUUCAAGUGUAAUUCGGGGACUUGAGCAUGCAAGUAAGCACAUUAAGAUCUAAUCUGGAAACAUUAAUAUAAAUAAUCAAGAAAUUAGACUUAUAGCCGAAUUUAAGCAUAAACCCCAAAUAAUUUAGAGCUAAUAGCACUUGAAAUUGCACUUGUUCAUUCCAGUGUCUUUGAUUUUCUAAUAUACAUUGUUUAUAUUGUACCAGUCGUACCUCAAAUCAGAAACACGCUAAUUCCUGAAAUCUAAGCAUGCCAUUUCUCACUAAUUGUACUAUGGUACUGUUGCUCAUUGUGAUAGGUAGAAGCUUUUGAAGGAUCAUGGCCAGCGAAGAAGGUCGCGUGGAUUAGUCGAAGGAUUUUAUUUAAUGAAGUGUGCACCAGUUUGAAUAUCUAUUCACCUUUAUACAAUUCAAGAUUAGCUUCUGGUGGCAUGUACUUUGGAUUGGUUGUCAUCUACAUUUCCAAGACUGGAAACCCCGAUGGAAUACGAUCUUGCAGAUUGACCUCCCGAGCCUGAAAAAACCUAGGAAGAAGCGCUAGAAGCUGCAGCUGUUCUAGAUAUUAAACCCAUAAAGCGUGAGCUUAACAUUGAAAUUGAUGAUCUGAGCUAUGAAGCAAAAGAAAUUCUUGAAGAAAGGCAAAAAGUUUUCAAAACUCAGAUGUCAAGACUUGAUGCAACAUCAGCUGAACUGAUAAAGCAGGGAAGGUCAGCAAGAAACAUAUGGGCAACUACGCUCAAAGACAUGAAAGGUGUGGCUAAUAUGUGUGCCAAUGGUUCCAUUGUGCAUCAAGGAGCAGACGAGAACGCUCCACUACACUUGAUGUUGUGGAUGGCGGUAUUGAUCCAAAUCACAUCAAAAUCAUCCUUAAGCAGUGUGCAGAUGCUAUAAUUGAAGUACAUGGUUGUCUCGAAGCUGACUACAAUAAUAAUGGGUAUGUAAAGAGGAGUGACUUAGAUUUUAUUUCGAUACUACAUUGAUUGAUUCAAUGGAAUCAUACGUUAAAAUAAUUGCAGAUGGCCCCAGUAAUGGGAAGGAAACAAGGAGCGAUACACUGAAGAUGCAUACUCUAUGAACACCAAUGAAGUUCUGUCAUAUAAAUAUGAAGUUAGUUUAAAUCACCGUUCGUUGUAUCUGCAAGUACACUACAUCCGGUCUCAAAUAGUCUAUGUAGUUUGGAAGUCUAUGUAUUCUAAAUAAUGUAAACUCCGCAGUGGAGUAGCUAGUUUGUUAUGUCUAUAUAUUAUACAAUGUGUGUUGUGUGCACACCUUAGUAUUACUGCAUCAGAUGCUACUGUAAAUUUGAAUAAAUUAGUUUGCAUAUCCUUGUGCCUGCGCAGAUUUUAUACGAUUUUAUUAUUUAUUAAUCAAAAUUAUUAGCACAACCAAUUUAAAUGUAAUGUGAUUAUAAUUUAGAUUAUUGACGUAAGUAUAAUUAAAUUAGAAACCUGUACAGAAAAGUGUGCACACAAAAGUUCAAAGGAUGUGUAGAGUGUGAGAGUCAAAGUUUGGUAAUACAAACUUGGAACGUUAAUUAUUAAUUCAAAAUAAUUGUCCAAAAUUUGCAUUUAAUACACAUUCAUCGACUAAGAAAUGAACACUACAGUCUCAUUUGUGAUUUAAUCAGCAUCUUCAUCUAUCUGCGAAUUAAAGCCAUGAUUCUAAAUACUAAUCCAGGUGGGUCCUCAGCUGAUGCGGCAUCCAGAUUGUUCACACUCAUUAAUCCUAAAUGACACACUGCAGCAGCGCACCGCAAGACAGUAUCGUUAGAAUUGGAAAAAAUAGAGAGACAGCAACUUAAAUCUAUGAAACAACAUUUCUAUUCUGCACAGAAACUCCAAUGAAUCGGAUCUGGUUACAGACAAUGAAACAAGGUCAACAAAAAUUGGAGUUAUCGAACCCUAUGUUCAGCAUUUUUAGCUCUACAAUUACUGUCAAUCCUGAUGUCGCAAACCAUGUGAAAACCCCUCCAGCAUAGUACAUGAUAUUCUUCUUGAAAAUUCCAACAAUCUGAGUUACCAUCAACUUGAAAAUGGAAGAUGAAGUCUAAAAACGUAGUAGUGAUGUUCCUGUUCGAAUAUGUCAAUACACCCUUACAAGGUACUCGAAAAAAAAGAGGAAAGUAGGAUAUGGAUUGGCAGGGAACGGCAUACUGUUCGUAUAAGUAACUUAAAGUUGAAACAUAUAUUUUCUAAGAAAAACCGAAUCAAUUCAGAAAUACAUCACAGAUAAAGCGUGGAUUUCACAAAGACAUCAACUACGAAAUAACUACUAAGAUCCACUAAAGGGAUAGAUCCCAUUCCCUUUCCAUUCAAGCUAACACUUUCUUCUUCAUGUGGACAUGAUUCCUUCUCCCCGCGAUUUGCAAAAGUAUAUGAAGAUGCAGACUUCCUAUGCCGCCUCCCGUAGAUUGAAAUAAAAACGCAUAUUCUUUAGAUUUUAAUUAUCUAAUUCCACACUUUGCUCGUCUUCAAUUUCACCAAAAGCUGCUUAAUACGAGUAAUGUAAAAGUUAAACAAAGAAAUGAAGUUCAAGCAAGUAAAGGAAACGUAGCUCAUGGUAACUUAUCAAACAAUUCAAAGGAAAUACUCUUGAUUUUACUAAAAAGACAUAGAAGCUAGAGGACAAUUAUGCAAACCUAUAUAAGCAUCUAAACUAAAACUGCUAGUGCAGUAAAAAAAUAGAGAAUAGAAUCGAAAGCUGAAUCUUUGUAGAUCGGUAAUGGUGAUAUCAUAAAGUGAAUUGGAGUAACUAAAGCGCACACAGCUCAUGAUAACCUACAAAACAAUCCAAAGUCAGUACUUUUGGUCCUACUUCAAAGGUGCAGAACCCAAAGCACAACUAUGCGAACCUAUGUAAGCAUUUAGAUCCAAACUGCUGGUACAAUAAACAAACUAAAAGAUAAAACUAGAGGCCGAAUCGUUACAUACCAUUAGUGGUGCCACCGUGAAGUGGAGUAUCCGUAGGGAGUAUAGUACCAUCACUAUUAAGUACACCAAGUGAGAAAAAUUUUGUCACUUAAGGCCUUGGUGUCGAGUGACCACUUUCUUUAAAUCCAGGGUAUUCAUCAUCAGAGCACUCAUAGUUGGAUCUGGUAAGUAAUCACCAUCAUCCGACGAGUCUGAUGAAUCAUGCCAAUCAUGAACCUCAAGAACCUUAAUAGCAACUCGAUAUCGCAGCCCACGUUGUUCAUGCUGUAUAAUGUCCUCUGGUCGCAAAUAUAAAUCUGCACCAGCAUUCGGAUCAUCUGGCUCUGGUAUAAAAAUAUCAACCUCGUUAGGCAAUUUGCCAGGAUCAACACACUAGAUACACCUCUAAAAAUCGUCAAGUCAGCUUUUGACAAUGUGCUUAGAGUUGGCUUGAAACCACUGCAUGAUCCACCAAGAAUGCGCUCCACAACGGGUAAAGACCGAGCAUGUGAUGGAAUCCCCUUCAACUCUAAAAGUGUUCGUUAUAGCAAACAGAUUGAUGGCUCCAACAUUUGAAUUUGAAUACCAAGUCUACUACUGCCAAAGGAGGUGCAUGGAGGACACGCUCUAAUGUCUGACGCUCAGAAAAUAUAAUCAAGAAAUUUUGGUCAUAGUAAAGAUGCAGAGUGUAGUCAUUCUCUGUGAGUGCAUACCUCUCCUGGAGAAGUGUAUGUACUUCGGCAACUGUAAAUGAUGAAUAGUCUCCAAUAGCAAUGAUAAUAAGAGCAUUUUGCAGCAAUUGCUCCUCUGCAACAAUAUGUGGCAUUCUAGGAACAACACAAACUUCCAAUGCUAGACUUCGUGAUGGAUGUCCCCUUGGAAGAGGUUAUGGAGAUGGUGACUUCUCCCAAGAGUGCCGAGAAAGAAAUCCCUUGUCAUCUAAUUAUGCUCUUGUCGAUGCACCAACUGAAGAUAACGUCUCAGGGUGUGUAGUAUCAGAGGGUAAAGUCCGCUGAACAACUACUUUUGAUUCCAUCAAGCUUAACCUAUAAAUAAUAUCGUCUAGAGGCCGUGUUGGAACCUUCAUCUCCAAAAGCGCAAUGGUCCUCUUCAUUGCAUCGAUCUCCUCCCGCUGCCUUGAACACAUCUCUCUAAGGAGGUUUACCUCACCCCUAUCACCGAUUACUUCAUUAUGUGUCAUAGUUUUACACCAAUUAUUGAAGACCAACAAAUGUACAACCGAAUCAGUUGCACCCAACACAUGAACUGAGGCUACAAAUAAGAGCAUAAAAAAUAAGAACAUAAUAUCAGAGAAGGAACGAAUCAACUAAAACUAAAAUAGAUCUACCCACAUAAACAAGGGAGAACGAUCUGACACGAUGCAUUAGACAAAGCAGUAACCACAAUGGCACCAAAUGAAAUAAGAUAAAGCACCGCAGUAAUGCAACAUUCAGGGCAAACCAACAAGAAGGCAACAUGGAAACACAAUAUCGAUAGAAGAAAAUAAAGAAGAUAGGAUUUCGAUCGCAUACAUCGCUUAUCACCCACCAAGAAGGUAUGGAAGAAGAGCGGAACCGGUGACCAAGCUUGCACCGAUGGGACGAUUUGCAAACCGCGAAAGAAGCUUGGUCAAAGAUGAUGGCAGUAGCAUUGAAAAUCAGCAGCGGAGAAAGGAAGGAGCGAGACGAUAAUGGAGACGAAUAAACAAAGAAAGGGGAACGGUGUCUCGGAAUGCCCCUACUAUUGAUGUGAUGGGGGACUCUUUAGAAAAUUAUCUGCCGAAAUAGUGCCUCCACCAAAGGAGAGUGGCAACAGUUCUUCAAAGAAGAAGGGAGCCGAUGCCUUGAGGAAAUGGCGCAUCAAAGCCGGUAAGGCUAUGUUCAUGCUUAAGACAACUAUUGUGGAGGACCUACUGGAGCACAUCUGAGAUGCGGAGACCCCAAAGGAAGCUUGGGAGACUCUGGGGAAAUUAUUCUCCAAGAAGAAUGAAGCACACCUCCAGCUUCUAAGAAAGAGCUUGCGGGUAUCUUACAAGGCACUAUGAGCAUUAAUAACUACUUUACUAAGGUGAAGAAUAUAUGUCAGGAGAUAUCUCAGCUUGACCUGGAGGAGAAGGUCAGCGAAGCUCGGAUGAGAAGGAUCAUCAUCAACGGCCUAAGACCCGAGUACAGUGGGUUUAUGGCUGCAGUGAGUGGAUGGCCAGUACAGCCAUCCUUGGUGGAGUUGAAGAACUUAUUAGCUAAUCAGGAGGCAUUAGCUAAGCAGAUGUGCAACAUCACUUUGGAAGAGAAGGAUGAAGAGGAGACGCUCUUCAUCAGAAAGAAGGGUUCACCAAGAGGCCGAGGAGAGGCGAAGGAGUGGACAAGAGGUGAUAGGAGUUGCCCAAAGAAGAGCAGCUAUUCAGGGGGAGCUCAAUGUAACAACCAGGCUGUUAAAGGCUUAAGAAUGAUUCUUAAAGUGUUAAAGGUGAAAUUGGGAUGAAAAGAAGAUAUUAGGGCCAAAGUCAAGUUUGGGUCAAAUUUCACCAAAAAUACAAAUUAAGAUUCAAAACCAAAGAAAUUCGACAAAAAUAUGAAGUCAAGCCUUUAAGGUAUUUAGAAUUCAAAGGAAUCAAAUUGGAAGUAAAAUUCAAGUCAUAAGCACCUCAAAUUCAUAGUCAAAGAUGGAUUGACUUGGAAGUACUGUUCAUGGUCUGAAAAUACAAGUCUGAAAUUAGUGACAAUUAGCCAACUUUGAAUUUAAUUUCUGGCAGAAUUUUCAUUGAAGCUAGGAGAUGUUUUAGAACACAAGAGGACUCUGAUCUAUAGUGAAUCUAUUGGACCUGUUAUUGGUCAGAGAAAACAAAGAUUCCAUAUUUUAAAUAGGGUUCAAAGUUUGAAAGUUGUGCAGUUUUCAACUUAGCUGCUGAAUUGAAUCAAGUCUGAAAACAGUGUCAAGUAUGCAACUUUGAAAUUCAUUUCUGGAGAAUUUUUUAUAUACACUCUGAAAGACGUUGAAUCCUAAGUGAACUAUGAUGUCCAAUAAAUAUUUUGAGCAUGUUUUUGGACAAGGAAAGAGAAGGAUUCAAAUUUUUCUUGAAGCUCAAAUUGUGAAUGUUACCCUGUCAGUUUAACUGACGAAGCUGAAUGGCAGUCGCCAUUCAGUCCUAAGGACGGUGCAAAAUUGCGAUUUUUAGCUUGAGAUUUUGGAAGAAAUUGUAUGUAAGGGUUGGGCUUUCAUAUGCGAAAUGGAACCCCUGUCCUAUGGUUGACAAGAUCCAGUAGUUGUUGGGCAACAAAAAUUGAGUUUGAAUGGUUGAAUUGGAGAUCAAAGUUGACACCUCGGACUGUCGGGUGGUGUCUGACGAAACUGAAUGCAGAAGGACGAUUCGGUGCUAAAUGACAGAACCCUAGCCCAACAUUGGAGUUAAAAUUCGCGGGGAUGGAGUGAUCUUUGGCAAUUGAGGCCAAUCAAUCAAAUGUAGAGCACAUGAUCCUCUACAAUUUUGAUUAAAGAAAUUCUUGGAGCUUGAAUUGGGUUUUGGUCGCAAAAGUGAGUUGAUUUACAGUGGAAUUUGGGGAAAGAAGGGGAGGAACAGAGUCGGCCGGUGCUACCAGGUUGUUCUCCAUUGAUGUCAAGAGCGGCGCCGCUGUGCCACAUGCCAGCACUGGCAAGAGGCGUGAAAGCAAGCAGCAAGCAGGAGGUGGCGCUCGGGAAGGCGGUAAAUCUUUCAUAUAAUUACCGCUCCCGCCGGCGAGCGUUAUCCGUUUAUUGCAUGCUCUGUUUUUUCACCUUACUCUCGAUCGCCGUCCUACUCCGCCGCCAUUCCCCCAUUGCCAGCCACUCCACCUCGCCAAGAACCACCGCCAUGAGCUCCUGAGGUAGUCCCGUCAGCCGUUGUCUAGCUCUAGUUCCCACAGUCACCACCCCCGUCGUCUUCUUCCUCAGUGCCGGCCGCCGCUCGGGUCUGGUAAGAGCGCCGCCGUGGAGAGCUUGGUACAGAAGCUAUGGUCGUGGUCCGGGGGUUUGGGUAGGUCAUGUAUGAGCUCUAGAUGGGUUAAGUUGUGCUUGUUGGCUUGGAGUUCCACCGGCUUGGCCGGAACACUCACGCUGCCAUGCGCCAAGCUUUGGCUAUGGCCGCCGCCGUGGAGCCUUCUGCUCCUGUCGCAGGGUGCUUCUGUUCGAGGGCGUGCUAUGUUGAUAGGGCCGUAGUAGAGCUGCCGGUGCCGCUUGUUGCCUUAAGGCUGCCGCCAGCGAGCUUUGCGCCGCCGUUCGCCUAGCGCCGCCCGCGCCGUCGUCUGCCUAUCGCCGUCGUCGUCCACCCAAUCCACCCCAAGAACACCACCAGUAGGUGCCCGUGGUCUAGGCAAGUUUAGUGGUGCGGUCCCCGUUGUCGGAGACCUCGCCAGCGACGAGCCGCUGCGAUUACCCACCGGCUGGUCCUCGGUCAAGACCGGGCUUGGGUCUGUUGACCCGGGGGGGCCCGCGUCAGCGUGUGGGGGUAGGCUGUGGGUGAGUAAGAAAAGUCCAAAGAGAGGGGGUUUGGGAUAAUGUUAGUUUUAAUUUUUAGAAAAUAGAUUUAAUUCCUAUUUUCAUAUUUAAAUCAUUAUACACAACCUGAUCUGUUGUGCAUAGCUGGUGAUGAGGGAUCUCCUGCAGGAUGUAAAUCAGUCCGGAUCGCCGCAAUUCUCGGUUAUGAAUGCACUUGAUCAUCUCUUAAGCAUUGUAGAAUAAUCAAGUUGAAUAUAAUGUUUUUCCUGGAAUUAAUAUGUUGUAUGACUUAGUUUCAUUUGUUUGCUUAAAAAUGUUUUAAUUCACCUAAAACGGUUAGGCAAGAACUAAUAUGAAAUAAAAUAAUAAAAGUAAGGUUCCACUAAUAGUAAGCUUUUUCGUAAAAUGUGAAUCAGCCAGUACACCAUAAAGCUAUCAUACAAUAUUUUUUUAUUAACCUUCCUAUAUUGGUUUGUCGGGUCAGUCUUGCUGAAUACCCUCGUACUCAGGGGAUCCCUUAUUGUUGUUUUCAGAAGCACAGCAGGGGACAACCAAAGAAGAAGUUCCGAAGAACUAGGGUAUCUACAAGUCUCAUAAUACCCUAGAAUAAAACCUAGUUGUAUAAUUACGUUUUCUUAGACUAGUUUUAUGUUUAAAACUCCUAGCAAUGCUCUAUUAUGGCACUGUUAAGUUUAUUUCAAUCUACGGUUUGUAAUAAUUCGUACCUUCUGUAUGUAUGUAAAAAUGUAAUAUUUAUAGAUGCUUUCCCUUCGUGGAAGCGAUCCUAAUGUAUGGCUAUGAAACACGUUGUGGAUGUUUCGAGGUGUCCUAUGGACACUCAACGGACUACCGGACUUACUGUUUUAAGUGCGUUUCGUAUAAUUGCUAUUCCGACAACGAUUAGGCACACUUAAGCCAGUUUAAGUCGGACGGUUCCGCCACACUCAACAAGAGAGCAAUGACGAAGAUGAUGAAGAGUUGGUCAAGAACGAGAGGAGAAGAAGAGGUGAGUGCUUCAACUGUGGCAACUGUGGCAAGAAAGGGCAUCGUGCAUGGGACUACUGGAGUCUACGAAGGUACUCAGAAGGAAACGUGGCUACAACCAAAAAAAGUUAUCCUGAGUGGGUGGCUAAGCGAAGAAGAGUGGGAUGGUGUGGCAGCAGCCACAAUUGAAGAUGAUGGAGCUUACUUCGUGGAAGACUUGACAGAAGGUGAAACUCCAUCAAAUAGCGUUGAAGAAAAGGAAGAAGAGUGGGAUGCAGAAGGUGACUUCUCCAUAGAGGUGAGAGAUCCGGAUACUUUAGAAGGAUUCAUAGUAUUUGGAUAUGAUAAUGAUGAAGAUUGAGAGGCUCUAAGCGAUGAGGAGGAAGAUAUUAAAAAGCGAGCACAUGACGCUAACUUUUGGACACGGGCGUUCUUCCUCAUUGUUUCUAUGGUACAUCAUCAUGUGUCGCAGUUUCAGGAGGCAAAUAGAUGUGCUUAUACAGGUGCCACGACUGGCACGACACAUGUGUAGUGUGUUUCAGUUCGAAUGUUCGAUGAUUCUCCACAUCCCCAUUUUGGCUGCGUCAAAUUGAGGAGCAUGCUUCAGCUUCGAAAUACAUGAGACCCACAAUAUUUGUUAGCUAAGCUUUCUCGUUUUUAAUUUGCUCCCUGGACUUCACCGUCUGUAUUUCCAAUGACAAGUCUGCCAUCCUGGUGAACUCGCAUUUGGGCAUUUGGCAACUUAAUUUUCGUCAGAAAUUUUAUUUUCGGUAAUUCUCCAACACCUCCAGGUCAACGUGCCUUUGGCAAAGAGUAUCAAGUUUAGUUACUCUGAGCUUAGGAUCCAGUCUCAGAUCUGAAAUCUUUCACCUUUUUCUUUCUCUUUUGUUUUGUCCCUGGAUUUGUUGUCUUUGUGUCCGCGUGGUAGUCGUACUCGUACGUGGGCUGAGAUGGGCACAUAGGGACUACAUGGGCCAAAGUAGCGCCUCUUUUCUAGCUUAAGGGCCGGCCUGAAGCUCAGACUGCCCUUGGGCCUUUGGCGAGCAGGUGUUAAGUAGCCUAGUUUUGUAUUUUUUAUUUAAUUCUUUUCUUAAGAAUCCAUUAUUUCAUUCCAGUAAGUCUAGUGGAAAAAUGGUAUUGCUACAUACCGAAUAAGAACCACUACUUUGUUUGUGGUGAUGAAAAAUCCUUGCUACAAGUCUCACAAUUCAAAGAGUAUAAAUAAACUUGCUUCUUUCUCUUCAUUCAUAAAAACCUAAGAUACAAAGAUCAUAUAGUGUGCCGUGAGCAAGGUUAGUUCAUAGAUGCAAGAGAGAAUGAUAGAAAGGUUAAAGGCACGUUUGGUUUGCUUGCAAAAGGUACCCUGCCAAAUGCGGAUGCGGCCGUACUGAUUUGGGGUUUUACUGGCAGUGUGGUGGCAUGCCAAACUAUGUGUGUCCGCAUUGGUAUUGCGCGCGGUUCAUUUCCCCCUCCCAUGGGUUGGCACAUUAGGGGCAUAGGAAUCGGCCGUCCACGUGUGGGCAUGCCUAUGGUUAGCAAGGUAACGCUGGCCAAAAUCAAAUACAUCCUAAGAACAGCCAAGGAAAUUAGGAUGUAGUGAUAUAAUAAGUAUGUUAUUAAUCUAGGGUUCGCGAUAAUCUGGCAGAUAAUCAUGGAUCAGUGACAAUAUUAUUAAAAUAAUAUUAUUGAUAAUAAUCUAUGUAUGAUGGUGUUAAAGAAGUAUAAUUGUUAGUAGAUGUCUACACGAUUACUUCACUGAGAGAGAAAACCCCGGCUGAGGGAGCACAUAGGAGCAAGCAACUGAGCAAGGCAGUAUUCCCGGGCAGGGCUGGCCUUUUCCUACUUGAGCAACCUCUCUUGUUUUUACAUCUGAGCAGCUUCACUUUAUGCAGCAACACCUGCAGGCUACACCCAAAAGCAGCAAGACCUUUCUACCACCUCACACCAUCAUCCCCUUUCUUAUUUGUUUUCCUCUUCUGGACUGGGACCCUCCCUCCUCUCUCUAUCAUCACCCUCCUUCCUCUGGAAGGCAAAAAAACCUCUCCCCCCCAGCACUCUCCUCCCGGCCGCCACCAUGUCAGGCCUCUACAGCCAGGGCUUCUCCCCUGCAAGAACCCUCUCCCCCCAGAUUAGGAGCAACCCCGAUGCUGACAGGUACUGCUAAUUUCUGACCCGAUUUCUCUCCACUGAUUCUUGAUCCGAAGAUUGCAACUCCAGCUGCUUCUUUUCCCCCACUUACCCUUGCGAUUGAUUGGUGGCGCGAUUCUUGCUUCGCUUCUUCGCAGCCAGUACUUGGCCGAGCUUCUCGCCGAGCAUCAGAAGCUGGGGCCCUUCAUGCAGGUGCUGCCGAUAUGCAGCCGGCUGCUCAACCAAGGUGAGAUCUUUUUGAUCCCUCGCUUACUGUUGCUUGCGGAUUGGUGAGAAAUCUUUUUGCGGAUGAGUGUCAGACUAUCGGAGAGGGUUCGUCUGCAAUCGAGAUUGGGGAAUCGCUUGGCUCCAAUGCUCGGAUGGCUGCUGAUCUUUUCCGGCAGCUGAUGUGUUGGGGGAGAUAGUAUGUGUGGUGAUGGGAUAGAGUUGGCAAGCCGCCAUUGAUUUUUUUCGUAGCCGGCAUACAAGAACCUUAUUAGUCUUAUUGACCCGAAUACCCGAUUGGGGAUUGCCAAUGAAUUGGCCUUUAAGUGAUGCAGUGACUUUUUUUAUGGUCUUGCUAUAGCAACUUUUGUAGUUUGUUACUUGAUACUGGUUGAUAGAGCAUCUGUAGCUGAAAACAGCGGUCAGCCCAAUAAUUGGGGAAGGUUCAUUUUGGGGAUGACAUCCAUUGUUGAUUGCAUCUUCAUCGCUUGCAUUGUGCAGAGUUAUUAGGUUGGUUGUAUGUCAUACUACUUUGCAAUGCAUUGGAUUUUGAUCAUCUUGUUUAACAAAAAUAAUUUGUUUUCAUUUGGGAAAAUCAUUAGCUAGUAUUUGAGAUGUUUCUUUUAUCUUUCUGUGUGGUGCUUGUGGAUCACCUAGUGCAUCUUCUCUCUAUGCACGAAGGCUGGAGCUUUCCGUAAUUAUCCAUAAAUGUUGAAUACAUAUUUUUAUCAUGCAUGAGGAUUUAUCUCCUCUAAUGUUUUUCAAGCAUGGCCUACAGUUUUACCUAAGUAAAUGGACUGUGCAUACGGCUGGAUUGCACGACCCCGUACAACCAGCAGAGGCACUGUUACCUUUUCUGCACUGAGCAGUGGGCUGUGACUUGGUCCGUUGGCCGCAAGCACAGGCCAUACACCCUGGUGACCUGAUCGUAUGUGUAGCAAAGUCCUUUUCUUAUUAACCACAUAUCCCUUGUAGCCACUUUAACCUUUACAGUUGCCCUUUUUUCAAUUUUCAAAACGGGAAGUGAUCUUUUCCUUUAAUAUGACCUUUUAUAGGGCCAAACUGGCCUUUUUAGAAUGAUAAUUAAAAAUUGUGUAGAGAGAACUUUAGUAUACUGUAAGAUAGCUGGAUUUAGAUAUAAAGACUAGACACCUCUUGCAGAAACUGAACCUUUGGGCUCCCCUCAAAAUGAUUGAGCUGUUAAAGUCAUGCGGUGCUACUUCUGAAAAGGGUUUUUCUCCUUUCAUCUUCAGUAUUAAAAGAAUGAAUAUUUUAUCUUAUUUUAGAUUAGGAUUUUCCUCUGCCUGGUGCAUAUAUGGAUUUUUGACAAAACCCAUCACACUAUCUAUCAAAAAGGAAAGUUGAAGGCACCGACCAGACGGAAGUAUGCAAUUUAGUUGACCACAGAAGUAUAUAUGACACUCUCGAUCGUAUGUCACAUAUUUUUCCGCUUCCACUCUUUUGCUACGUACUGCAAUUGAUUUGAUUACAGCAAGCAUUAACAUUUUGUAGCAAAUUCUUGAACCCUUCCCCAUUCUGACUAGUAGGUUGGCUGAUUCUUUUUCUUUCAUCAUUUGUGUUACUUAGAAAUCAUGCGGGUAUCAAGCAUGGUUCACGACCAUGGAUUCAGCGAUUUUGACAGGCGUCGGUUUAGAAGUCCCAGUCCUAUGUCUUCGCCAAUUGUCCGCCCUAAUCUGCAUGGCAAUGGAUUUGGUCCUUGGAAUGGGAUGCCCCAAGAGGUAGGCAUAAUAUGUUGAUCACUUUAAUAAAGUUCCUCUUUUGACAAGAUUUCUUCAAUAACCAUCUUUUUUAUGUGAUAUUUUUUGGAUUUGCAACUCUAUUUCAGAAUCAGUGAUUAGUUUUUUUUAAUAUAACAGAGAUUGGGCUUUCCUCCUCCUGGAACAAGUAUGGACUGGCAAGGAGCACCACCAAGUCCUGGCUCCUAUAUUGUGAAGAAGAUUAUACGCUUGGAAGUUCCCGUUGAUUCCUACCCUAAUGUAUUGCCUCCCACAACCUAUGUAGUUAGUACUGAAUGAUGUUCUAGUUCUAAUAUGUUCCGGUUUCAAAUUUCUCCAGUUCAAUUUUGUGGGGCGCAUUCUAGGUCCUAGAGGUAAUUCUCUAAAGCGGGUGGAAGCUUCAACUGGCUGCCGUGUUUUUAUUAGAGGGAAGGGUUCCAUCAAAGAUACAGAGAAGGUAUCCAAAAUGUUAUAUUUGUUAAUCGCAUCCCACUUAUGUGCUUGUUUAAUUUAUAAUAUCUUAAGUUUAGAAAGGUUUUAUAGCCUGUUGGGUCAUGGAGCUUCUUUGUCAUAUCUAAUGUAAUGUCGCGUCAUGGAACUCUGUGAACUACAUGCAACACUUCAGUUUUAUUUCCUGACUUGUAACCCUAAUGUUAUUCAACUAGUCUUGCCUCUGACCUUUGCUAUCACUGCAAUGGAUCUAAUUUUGGUAUCAUGAUCUUCAAAUUCUCGCCUGACUUGACCAGCAAAACUACAACAUAUAAGGACAGGCACAACUUUUUUUUUUGGAUUAACCCAUAGGUGCUGUUCAAGGCAGAUCACCUAUGCAUGCUGCCUUGCUCAUAGAUGGCUUGGCACCGAGUGACAGAAUGUCCUGCUCAAGAUCCAAAUGUUCCCAUAGGAGGACUCUGUGAAAGAUCAGCACUAUGAUGACUAAGGGCGUACCUUAAGGAAUGAUUUGUGUGGGGAAUUAUUUUAUUUUCCACUAAGUAAUAUCCUAUUCUUCAUCUGCCAUCACAAUUUUGCAGCCUUUUUUUCUGUAGUGCCGUUGAAGCAUCAUUAGUUUUGCCAUUUUUUAUUUAUGGCAUUAAGUCAAACCAAGGUGUGCUAUAAUUUUUAACAUAGAACUUCAACGGACUCUCCCUUUCUUGCCACAGCCUACUGUGAAAUCGAGGAUUCUUUAGAUUUCUUUUUCCUGGGCUUUGCUGUUUGCCUUUUGUUCAUUGAAUUGGAUGGAAUAUGACAAUUAGAAUUGAGGAAGAAAAAGGGUUGUCCAAAGAAGAGUUUGAAAUCUUCCUUUGUAUUAGCAUGCUGAAUUAUUGUGUCAUGUUUUUUUUAAUUUUAAUGCUAAUAUUUACCUGUAGCUCUGUAGGAAAUUAUGCUCACAGAAUUGCCAGAAACAGUUCCUAACAUGUGGGGUCCCUUUCUACUGGACUAAUUGUUUGCUUUUGCUCUAGAAAGUCCAUAUGUUUUUGUUACAGAUCAUAACAUAUUGUCCAACUCUGUACAUCCUUUUCUCAAACUAACUCUCUACAUCUUGGGUGUUCAAUCCUAGAUGCAUCUGUAUUAUGAAUAUCCAGUAACCCUAUUAGAGCCCUCUGUUGAUGAAGACUUGGAAGAAUAACAUCCAUUUUCUGUUAUUUUCCCUCACUAUCCCGUGACUUAGACAUUCGGUACCUUGUAAAAAUGGUAGCAUCUAGUUAUGUCUUUUGGUCAAAUGUUUUUUUUUCUCGAACACGCAGGAGAGCUGCGUAUCAUUGUAUUAAUAGGAGAAGAACGAGUCAUAUAGAGACCCAAACACACUAGAAUUGGUCAAAUGUGUUGGUAUGAACUCAUGAUAUUCAGUGAUGAAUGUUGUUACGUAUAUCUGGAUAUCAUAUAUUAGUCUUUUUCGGAAUUCUGUGUUUUUCUGCUUGCAGUGGCUAUGUGGUAAUCUUUGGGAAGGCAGUCUUACCUCCUUAACUUAUUAUUGUCAUUACACCAUUAUUGUGAUAAUCAAGAAGUUGUAUUUCUCAUUCUAAUCAUUUAAUCUUUGUUAGUUCAUAUUUAGAACUCAUAUGGUCCUACUGCUUCCAUUUUCUCUCUUCUUCUUAGUUCCCCAAGAAUACACAGUUACACAUAUGUGCUUUUAUUGCUUUAGGAAGAGAAGCUUAAAGGAAAACCUGGCUAUGAACAUCUAAAUGAGCCACUGCAUAUAUUAAUCGAGGCUGAGUUACCAGCGAAUAUCAUUGAUACAAGACUCAGACAGGCACAAGAAGUCAUGGAAGAACUGCUAAAGCCAGUGGUAAGUUAUUCUAAUGUAUAAUAAAAUUCUGCAUUUAUUGGUCCUCAUCUGCCAAAGCUAGGAGUUUGUAGGGGUACUCUUAUUUGAAUUGGCAAAUGCCGUGCAAGAACACAUGAUCUAUGCAUUACUUUAUUUUGAAAUUUGGAUAUUUAUCACUUCCAGUACUUGUAAAACUUCAUUUAGUUGGUAAAUUGCUGUUAAAGGCUAGUGUCAAACUUUGCAUCACUUUGUAUCCAGUGACUAAUUGCAGCUAAAACAAACCCUACAUUGUUCUGUUUUAUGUAUCUUUGCAAUACAAUGUUUUCUUCAAAAAAAAAGUCUACAAUGAAAAGAAAUGUAUAUCCCAAAACUUGAAGGCAUUGUAGUGCAUCCAUUCAGUGGAAAUUUUCUCAAAAUACAAAACAUUCAUACUUUUUUUCGGAAAAAAUUUCAACUGCAAUUAAAUCAUAAUAUUCCUGAAGUAAAGAUAAGUCACAUUUUGGGAUAUAUCUAUAUGUGUCACACCCGGUUUUAAAACAAAACCAAGUGCUACCUAUAUCUGUGUCAGGAUCAAGUUUCAUACAUAUAAUGACAUCAUCAGUGAAUAACAGUAACAAUAUCACGUAAAGGAAUAUAAAUAAUGACUUACGAGUCUAUCAGAGAUAUACAGCUUAAUCCUGGAAACGAAGGCUCCAAACUUCACAGGCAAUCGACUGGGGGUCGCGUACGCCUAGAACUCAGCAUCAUCUUCAGCAAACUUCAUAGCAACCCCUUCUUCUAAACGGCGGUUAGUAAGGGUGAGUACACUUAUGGUUAUGGUUGGUACUCAACAAGGCCACAAGAAAUAAUCAGAAUAACGAUUUAAGUCCAUCUUCAAGUUUAUUAAUCAUGUGAAGGUCCAGGCGCUCUUGAUCGUGAGCACGGCUGAUAUAUCAGUUUUACACUCUGUAGAAGUUAUACACUUUCACCACAAGCCGCGUAAAAGUUCAGAAGAACUUUGGACCCAACCAUGCUAUGCGAAAGUAGGCACUUAUCACACUACCGAGGUGUGACCGCAUAGGGACGCUACGAGGCCUUUACAAAAAUUCCCUAAUAAGUGGUAACCCGCUAAGGUUUUAGUGCCUGGCGUGCAUAAACCUCCCUAAUGGGCAUAGUGUCUUAACAAAGCCCACUUCCCAAGAGGACAUGGCUAUACAACGACUCAGUCCCCCCUCUUGCCUUUUUGGUAAGAUUACCCCAAACUAGAGUCUCUAAUUAAUUAGCCAAGACCAGAGCCAUGUAGUUCUCGUGGUUGCACUGUUUUCUUGGGUGGUCGUUCCAUGUUCCAAUUAAUACAUGGUAUUCUUGUAAAAUAAGCAUAGAUAGAAGGAUGGUUAGAGACACUUGCCUUUCUCCAAAGAAAAGUUACUCUUAUUGCUCUUCAGCUCUUGCUUUCUUGAAGCUCUUAAUCUUCAAACCUUUCGAACAUCAAUCCUUCUACUCGAAGCAAUCAUUGGGCACAACCAUACAAAGCAAACAAACAAGUAUAACUAAGAACAAUACACCAAUUAAGAAAGGCUUUAAAAGAGCGUAGAAAAGGGUAGGGCUCGAUUCUAUGGUCACGCGAACGCAAGAAACGCUGGGAACGGAACUAUGGUUGACAAGGCAAAACUAUCGAGAGGUUUGAUUUAUAAAAGAAAUAAAAAGACUAUGGUUGACAAGGCAAAACUAUCGAGAGGUUUGAUUUAUAAAAGAAAUAAAAAGACUAUAUGCUUGAUCCAUUUUAAUUAAAUAAAAUCAUGCACAUAGGUUAUUUUAGAGAAAUACCCUAUUUGGAAUUAUCAGAAAAUAAGGUUGAACGUUGACAACGUGAUAAACUUGAUCAGAUUUUAUUUAUAAAUAUUCAAGUAGAAGUUAUGCCAAUUUAACAAUUAACUUUAGAAACACAGAGCAUAUGUAAAAGACAUAAUCAAACAACUUUUUAUUUCGUGUUCAACUAAACAUAUUAAUAUUGAAAAAGCAUUUAUAAUAUCAUUAAGCAUAUAAACUUUAUUCAUGAAAACCGAUGUAUAACACUAGGUAACUUUUAUUUAGAAAAGCUAGUUAUAAAUAGAAAUUAAUCAAUUAAACCUUAAUUUAUGAAAAACGGGAUAGAACCUAACCAACUUUUAGAAAACUAAUUGAAUAAGAAUUAGUCAAGUUCACAUUUAAUUUUGAUGUUAAAAACAAGCAACAAGUAAUACGCACUGCUAACGCAUAAGGUAAGGUUAAACGAAUAAGAACAACAAAAACAGACUACUCUAGAGCGUAGAAGGAAAGCGUAAAUUAUGGUUUAGGAAAGGCUAGUCUACAAAGAGAUCAACUAAGUUGCAAGGACAACAAACUAGCAAAAGCUAAACUAAACUAGUCGGUAGAGAAACGAACUAAUAACAAGAUUGGCUCUAAAGAGAUGGCUGCGAAAGGUUUGGGCACAAAGAACUAAAAGAACAAAGGUGGCUCACAAAGAGACAACUGAGAUAAGACAGCUAUGAAUUGGAUCCUACAAACAUGAUUCUUAGAGGAAUAGGAAACAAACAUUAUAAGACUACUAAGCAGAAUAGAAACUCUAAGAUAAACUAUUUGGCUCACUAAAACGCACAAACUAUGCUUGAAAAGGAAAGGCCUGGUUAGAUUUAUAAAAGAAACAGGGUUCGAGCUGGGGCUGGGAAGAUCUAAAGCUUUACAGAAGACUUGAUUUACAAAAGAGACUGAGCUAACGCUGACAAAGAACAGCUAUCGAACUAUUCGCAUUUAUGAGAGCACAAAAGACUAUAAGCUAGGUUUAUUUUAAUUAGCAAAAUAUAUGUAAAGGAUAUUUCGGAAAGAAAAUACUCUAAGUUGGAAUUAAUGCAAGUUAUACUUUAUUUGCAAAGAUCGAGGUAAAUCCUAAUCAAGUUUUAUUCAUAAAUGUUCAUAUAUAAAUUAUACCAAUUACACACUUAACUUUAGAAAAGUGAAAACAGCUAAUCGAUUUAAUACAUGUUGUGUUGGGCUAAACAAAACUUAUUUAGAAAACAUAUUCAUAUUGGCAUUAGUCAUUUUAUCAAUAAUUAAGAAAAACCAAGUUAUAACUUAACCAUAUUUAAUUCUAAAUAUUGAGGUAUAAAUUAUAUCAUUUAAAUAUUUAACUUUAGAAAAGGCUAAACUAUGUGAAACAUCUAAGCGUAUACUUUAUGAUUCUAGUGGAUUAAAUUGUUAUUGAAAACAUAUUCACGUUGGUAUUAAUCAAGUUAAUUUAUUUAUAAAAAAACGGAUGUAAAAGCCUAGUCAACUUUUAUUUAGAAAAGUUGAUUCGAUACUGAGCAUUGAUCAAAUUAAUAUUAGUUUAUGAAAAAUCGAUAUAUAUAUAUAACCUAAUUAGCUUUUAUUUAGAAAAGCAUAUGAUGCAAGCAUUAAUCAAAUUAACGUUUAAUUAUGGAAGCGAGGUAUAACGCUAAGUAGCUUUUAAUUAAAGAAGACAUGUUUAUCAGGUAUUAAUCAAAUUAAAUUUGAAUUCAUUUUCAAAACAUGCAUGAUGGAAAACAUCACCACUAACAUGUAAUUUAUGUUAUCAUGAACCUAACGCAACUUGGACGGAUAUAAACGGUGCUGAAACGAAGAAGGGAUAGGUUAAACAAAGUUUAAGGGAUCUAGAUGUGAUUAACCGUAGAUCUGGAGGGCUGACAAGGAAGAUAGACAAGACACAUGGAAUAGUGCUCGCCAUUAGGUCAAAGCAUAGGGUUAGAUCUGUUAAAGUGCUCAUGUUGGAUUGGCUUAAAGGAAACUAAACUUUCCGGGUGCUUUCUAUAAAAUUGGCAAGAUACAAGAGAUUUGAUCUAAAAUUGUAUAUUAGCUCGAGGGGCUAUCUGCAAAAAUCUCAAAGAGUUGAUAGCCAUGGCGGAUGGCCUCUGGCUGAUUCAAAUCGACGGUGGUCCGACGGGGUAGGGUAGGGAUGAAGAGGCGCAGGAGGUACGGGAGGUCACGGUUGACUCACAGGGAUGCUCACCGGCGACGGGGAGGUGGUUCAGCGGCCGAGAAAUUCUGACGGCGGAUGGCGAAGAAGCUCGGCGGCAGCUCGGGUCUUCAUGUGUGCGCGGUGCUUGGAUAGGGUAUUGGCAAUGAGGACUAGUGGCGCAGCUGCGCCUCGACAUCGUCGAGCCCCUAGGGGUGCUGGCUUGCUCCGGUGGGCGUCCUUGGCGGUGAAUCAGGCGAACAAGGCCGGCGGCGCUCUACUUCCAGGCGGCUCGCUCGACGGCGGUAGCGUGGCACAGAGGUGAGGGUGCAAGGCAAGGCAGCAGGGGCGUGCAGGGUCAGGCGGUGUGUUUUAUAGGAGCACGGAGCAGGCCCCAUGGCUUGGUGCGCACGCCAAGGCCGGCGGCGGUGUGCUGCCCAGCAAUCGUAGGAGCUGAGGCCGUUGGCCCAGAUGGGCCUCGGCUAGGCCGAGCUGGCUGGGCUGGGCUCGCAGGCUCGGCCCAAAGGGCAGGGGGUCUACCUGCAGGGAGAGAGGAGGAUUGGUACGGGUUUGGGUAGGAUAGCGGGUCGAGUUUGGUUUGGUUGGAUCUUGCCUGACAAGGAUUUAGGGUUUUGUUUUAUUUUCCGAAUAUAAUUUUCAGUGCGAAAACUAAUCCAGAAUAUUCUAGAUAAUGUUUUUAAAGCACGAAAAAAUCAGGAAAAUCCCAAAAAAUCCAGGAAAAAUCUCGGAGAUAGUUUGGGGCAUGAGGAGUUCAAAUGAACUAUUUUGAGCUUGUGAAAAAGAUUCUAGAGCCUUAUAAUAAAUAGAUUUAGCUCUAGGAAAAAUGAGAACAACUCCUAGAAAGAGCUGGAAAAUCAGAAGGGUCUGGACAUCGUCUAAACGCAUAUUAAAACCUUUUGCACUCAAGAAACAUCAAGAUGCAUCGGCAUGAAUACAACACACACAGAACAACACUAUUUAAUUUAGAAAAACAACCCAUUGUUCUUCCUAUACUACAUUUCCUGUCAAGGAAAUAAAUGUUGGAAAAAAUUUAAAAUUAUGAGAAAAUCAUUGUUUAAUUAUUCUUUUUAAUCACAUCCUGAAAUCCGAAAAUUUCAGGGUGUGACAAUAUGGUUGUGUAUAUUUGGAUUGGACAUACGUUGCUUAAAUGCAUGUAUCUGCCUAAGGAUAUUAUGGUGUCAAAGGUACAGAGAACAUGUCAAAUACCACUUAAUUAUGUUUGGCUUGUGGGGUAUUAAUAGGUUCAGUAGAGAACACAUGGCUAUUCGCUUGAGAGAGCCCAAGAAGAAAUGGCAUGCUAAAAUCUGAUGUCGUUGAUUUACUUGGUUCUUAUAUUAUUUUAUAAGCUAGUUUUUUUUUGCUGUGAGCCACCUGCUGUUUGUUCUUUAGGAGCAAUUAUUGCCUUUUCGCUCAAUGUUUCUGUAAAUAGGUUCCACUUCUCAUGCAUUGUAAUGUGCAUAUAUUGUAUUUUCCUUAUACUUUACUCCUAUAACUUAUUUAGAAAAUCCGUAUAGUUAUGAGUGUCUUCCAAUUUCCAUAUACUCCUUAUAUUCAGAACUAAAUAGUUAUUUUCCUUGUAUGUAGGACGAGUCACAAGAUUUCUACAAAAGGCAACAGCUGAGGGAACUGGCCAUGCUAAACUCAACUCUGAGAGAAGAUAGUCCUCAUCCUGGAAGCGUCUCUCCUUUCAGUAACGGUGGCAUGAAACGCGCAAAACCGAGUCAGUAGAGAAGCUGCUUCUCCAUCCUUCAGUCCUUCUUGUUGCAGGCGUGCAUCAUCAACAAGGGGCACUUGAGCCUGCGCUGCGUGGGUGCUUGUGUAAGAAAAGGUAUGCGUUUGCUGGAUGGUUAGUCUGGUAUCAAGCGCAUUUUCUCCUUCGGAUAAGGAGAAAUCAAUGGUUGUUGAACCGUCUUGAUCUUUUUGUGGAUCGAGGCAUGUUGUUGUAACUUGUAAGGUCAUGGACAUUCAUUUUAUUCGUUAUUGACUGUUUAACCCUAAGUAGCUUGUGAUGCUGAGGAUAGGUGGUUUCAGGGGAGACUAGGUAAACCUGACUGUUUAAUUAGCUUGUAUUAGUCCCCUGUUACAUUAUGGAGUUGCAAAAUAAACGAAGAUCAUGGUGCACUCCACUUUAUGAUAGUUUGAUGAUGGAAGCUUUGAAUGAACCAUGUGAACUCAAAAUGCAUUGUACUCGCAUAGUAUGCGAAUUUGGUUACAGUAUAAAUGGGAUCCAUGGGCAUUCAAGUAAUGUGGAUUUUGAAACAAACAAACGACUAGGUGUCAUUCUACAAAUUAAAUUUGGGUUGUUAAGUUGAUAUGCAUCUUUUGACCAGGAUAAGUUGGUGUGUAUCUUUACUUGCCCAUUUAGUGCUCCCUUCAGUCCCACAAAAAAUGGCAGGGGCUUUCUUUAAAUUUUUCUUCCUUUGUAUUUGAUCUUUCUUCUUUAGUGAUAUGAUGCGCUACUCUCUUGUAUAUUUGAUAAAAAGUAAAUGAUGUUUUGGUCAUUGAGAUGGUUUUCCAAAUACAACUUUGGCUAAAAUGUUUGUUGUUGGCAUGUAUAUGUUUAUAAAUUAAAGCAUAGCAAACUAUAUUAUGUCAAGGAAAUCUACUUACUCUGCAAUCUACUUAUUAUGUCAGAUGAUUAUCGCGGAGUAUCAAAAGAGAAGGGAGGGAGGGAGUAAUUACUGUAGUAGAAAAGUUCAAUCGCCGUGAUAGUCAUCUGACACAUGGGUACAAUUACAAAUGAAGUGACGACUGACGAGGUGUUAACCGAAGGACAGGAGGUAGUCCCAACCCGGUGCCGUCCUCGGAAUGCGUGAUGACAGCAUCCGCAGCACCUACAGGAAAAAAGGACCUACGGGCCUACCAUCACGCCUUCUCCGUUGUCGGCGGCGGCGGCGGCAGCAGCGGCGGCCGUCGGCGUGUCGGGGACUACUAGCUAGCUUCGCCGUGGUAGGGAAUAGGGACCCGUUCUUGGUUUGGCGGCAGUUGGUGCCAGGACAAAACAGAGAAAGCUGUGCAACCUGCCGAAGGCGCCGUUCGUGCCCGUGGUUUCCGACCGACUCGUCCUUUCUUUUUUUUUUUUUUUUUUUUUGGAUACGCCGACUCGUCCAAGUUGGCCUCUUGAUAUUUCCUGUUUCGUGCUAGGCGUGGAUAAGGCAACGUCACGAGUCCCCGACCGUGCCCACGGGACGACGGGUGAGGUGAUGCAGAGUGGCAGCCGGUAGCGGAGAAGAGCUAUCCCGCCACUCCAUGCAUGCAAAUAAUAUAUUUAUGGCUCAACCGCCACCACCGUACAGUCACCAGGUUCGAACCCGCAUGAGCCCCCCCCCCCCCCCCCCCCCCCCCUACCCGUGGAGAGAAGAUACCAGCAGGAGGAUGAAGAGAAAGAGGAAAGAGGAAAGGAUAGGAAGAAGACAAAGAAGAAGAAAAGAGAGAAGCCUUUGUAGUUUGUAGAAUUACUAUGUUCAUAUGGUAUGAUCAUAUAAAUUCGUGAGAUAGAAAAAAAGUUACAUGGGUGCUCCAAAACAACGUUCCAAUCAGUCAUGAUGCUAUCCCUUAGAAGGUUUGAAAAGGGAGGAACUAAAGAGUGUACCAAUGGCGUUAGUUAUUGGCUGGAAAGAUAAAGAGGAGGCGACUAUUUAAACUUUUUUCUUGUAAAUUUUGUCUUAUAACACACUGAAGUACUGAACGUCUUCUCUAUUUCAUGAAAUGCGCGCUGUUUGCUGCCAAUUCAUUUAUAGAAAAAAGAAACAUAACUUUUGCCUUUACCAUCACGGACGUCGUUUGGAUCCACGAACAACUAAAAUCUGGUGACACAUGCGAAACAGAGCCUAAAAUGCUCCAUCAGUAACACCUCAAGCACGGAUAGGUGAAGAUCGUAGCACGGUCACUACGAAAUGUUCAUCUGGAAAGAUCAUGGACUGAUAAACAUGUGAAAAAUAAGAUUCGCUUAUUUGCAAACAAAACGUAUUGAGAACCGACGGGAGGAGCUGCUCAGAGCAAGGCUUCGGCUCCUUCUAGCUCUUGCGAACCGGUAAAACAUACAUCAGUAUCUCUCAUUUCGGGCAAACCGGUAAAAAAGAUAUUAUCUUUCAUUUUGGGGGCAACGACUUUUGUCCAAAUUUUCGGGUCCGCCUACCACCUGGUAACUGUUCCGUUCUCACUUUCUUCGCUGCGAGCGUUGGCACGCAACGACAUUCUAGAUGCGGAGGUAGAUUCUUUGGAUACCGGUGUCAGGGAGCGUGAGCUGACAGAAAGUGUAAGCCUGCACGUGCGCAGGUUAACCGCUCGACCACACAAGCCAGGAUCACAUGUACAGUGCCAAGUCCAAAACAACCCUGCCACCAAACCCUGCGAGAGGAUUUCUCCAACAAUAAAAACCACAACAAGGUUGGUGGCACUGGCAACAAAUCUUUGCAAUCUCCACGGCAAACAACCUUGUCCGGAUCGAAAGAACGAAAAAAAAAUUGUCAACAAAUAUUAUUUAUCACACAUCGAAGAGUUCAUCAGGUUUUACGGAUCAGUUCAUCACGCUGCUGCGCUUUCUAACAUCAUCAGCAGCAGCAGACAGCAGAGCAGCGUAUGUACAGCAUCAUCAUCAGUUCAUGAAUCAGAGAAGUUACAGAGAGAUUCUUCACAUUAGUAUCAUCGAGAAUCAUCAAGGAUUUCAGAUUGGUACCCAAUGGAACGGUGGGGGGGGGGGGGGGGGGGGGGGGGGGGGGGUUG